GUUAGCCGUGAGAUUAAAGAACAAAGAACAAAAAGGAAUCAUGAAUUGGAAAGUGGAUCUUGUAUUCAUUAUGAAUGGACUCAAGACCGAGUCGAGUGGCAUAGUUGGCUAAGGUAAAGGUAACAAUUGUGAAAGAAUGACAAUUGAGAAAGAAUGACAAUUGAGAAACGUUUGUUAAUGUUAUAAAGAAUGGCAAAAGUGUAUAAUGCGCCUAAGGUGCGAGUGCCCUUAGCAAAGAAUAAAGAAUAAAGAAUAGAGAAUAGAGAAUAAAGAAUAAAGAGUAAAGAAUGGCUAAUGAUAAAGAAUAGCAAAUUCUAAAGAAAGGCUAAUGGUAAAGAAUGACUAAGAGUUGCAUAAUUUGCAUAUUUGUGAGGCAUGAACAUGUAUUGCAUGAUGUUAUAUGUAUAUAUAUCUGUUGGACUAACAUGUUGCAGUGCCUCCUUUGGACCUGGUGGGUUGAGCUCUUCCCUUGGGUGGCUGUACCCACCGAGGACUAUGGACAAUAGUCUCACCCCCGUGUUGUUGUUUUUGGGGGUACAGGUUCACACGCGAGCGGCGCGGCGGCGCGAGGAAAGGGCGUAGCUCUGUAGUUAGCGCCCUACCACAGAGACCAGAUAGCAGCACCCUGAGUCUGGUUCUUAGGGGUAUAAGAAAAGAAAAGAAAAGAAAAGAGUCGAUGUUGUAAUAUUAUGUUUAUAAUCGAUUGUAUAUUUGGAAGUUGAGGAUCAAUGUAAUGAAAAAUGCGAUAUAAAAUGAUGAGAUGAAUGAUUGUAAUAACAUAGGAUGUGUUAUGUUGUUUGAUACCUUCCUUAUGCAAUCGUUGUUGAAAAUUGUUCCUGUUUGGAACCUCUUGUACUUGUAUUAAUUGCGACGCCUUGAAUGUACAGGGGAGACUCUGUCCGCGUGCAUGGGAAACCCUGUCCGUUCGGCGGUCUGUUGGCGUGCCCGAAUCCGACCAAAGGGGCGGGCUCGGGGCGUGACAACUGAGCUUCUUCCUAUGUCUUAGUGCUUAUUCGAUUGGCAUAUAGCAUAUCGUAUAUUGUUAUGCAUUAUAGGGUGAUGAUACAUGCAUUCCUACUCCUUGUAUGAUGUCUAUGAUUAAUAUAGUAUUAUGAUAUGGAUAUUUGAUGUAAUGGACAUAAGGAUUAGGAGAUGACAUUGGUAAACCUAUGAUGCUAAAUGAAAGAGGAACCUAGUGUUGUAUCUAAAGACAUAGUUUACUAGUGGCAUUGGACUUAGUGUGAUAGAAAUACAUAUAACUUGUACCUAGUAUGCAUGAGAUUGGGACAUAGUGUUGUGAAACCCUAUAAUGGCAUGAUUAAUGUGGAUUAAACUCUAGUUGAGUGACGACCUAGUGAAUAUGUGCAAAUAGUGCAUCGAGAACAUUAAACUAUGACGAGUGGCAUCUAAUUAAUGUUAACCCAUGAUGAGUGGCAUAUGAGAACCUAGUGUAGUUGACUGUGACGCCCCAGCUUCCCAGGGGGUCACCUGUCACGCCCCGGGACCGAUGCCAAUUUGGCCCGACCCGAGCACGUCAAACAGACGCCGAACGGAUAGAGUUUCCCCUAUCCGCCCAAGGCUCAUCACAUGCACAUUUUCAUCAAUAGAGAAAAGCACUAGCGGAAACAUACAAAAACGGCUUACACGAGGGUAAGCAAUAGCCAUAAGUGAAAGAAAAAGGAAACUAAACAUUCUCAAGUAAUAUGAUUCAUUUUGAUCACAUACGUUGUAUCUAUCCAACUUGUACACCCAAAACCUUUACAUUCUUUCAUCAUUUCUUUUACAUCACAUUUACCUCAAAAUGAACAUUACAUUCUUUUCUUUACAUUACUAUCAUCAAAUACAAAAGAUGAUCAUAAGGUACUUUACUACAAAAUAAAACCCAACUGUGGUGGCCUCUGACUAAGGCGCGAUACCUUUACCGCGGUCGCUCGCCGGCUCGCUCGGUCCCGGCUCUGUGGAAAUAGUGGGGUGAGAAUUACAACAAAGUUCCCAGUGGGUUCGGCCCAACAUCACCGACUUUCCCACUAGGACUAACUCAGGCAUAAUAGAAAGGAUAAGCAAGAUUUGUUUACCAAUCUAUAACAUGAUGAUGCUUAUAUAGCCUGAACAAAAGCAAGGAUAUCUCAACAUUGAAUAAAUGCAGACUAUGCAAUUUCUUUACUCUUUUUACUUUACUCUUUGUUCUUUGUUCCUUACACUUUUUUUUCUUUGCUCUGUAUUCUUUUAAUCUCAAGGCUAACCGGGGGUUUCGCCAAAUUACUGCUUCACAUUAAGUCCAUCAUCGCAGAAACUCACAAGCUAGGACGUCUUAACGGGUCUCCUCCAACGCCGGAUGCAUAACUCCGGAGCGCAUCGCCCGAGGGGAGCGACCGCCUCGAGCACGAACUCAUAGCAAGUAUAUCGAAUCCUUAACUCAAAGAUUUAUAAGUAUCAAUCUUGACUUUACACUACUCUAGUGUUUUACAUCACUUAUGUUGCAAACCAUGCAACAUCUCUUUCGUUUCUUUUACUUUUGCUAACUCUAGCAUUAUAUUCUUUAUUCCCACAUUACUUUAACUUUAGACAUUGUCAUUUCAUCAUUCUUUACUUCACUUUAGUUUUUGCAUCACACUAACUCUAGUUUUCUUUUCUUACAUUUUCCGAUGCCCUCGAUCUAUGUCAUUGUGCCACUCUGUUCUUUUGCUCACUUUGGUGGUCAAUUUUCUCUCAUGCAUACAUCUAGGUUUUGACAUUAUUAGGUUCUAAACUCAUUAUGCAGUUGUGUCACAAUCAUGCAUCAUCACAUUUCAUUAUUACUUUACCCUAAAUGCAUGCACAUAUAUAUGUAAAUAUGCUCAAGGAUGACACAAUUAGCAUAGAGAGAAUUUCAAUGAGUUUGGAAAGCACCACCCACUUGCAGGUCUAUUUAGGUGCUCCGAUGAUUUUCUGGUUUUAGACCUCUGUUCUUUACCUGCGGCAAAACGAACCCUUAUUAGAGCCAUUUUGCUCAUAACUUCUUUGACUUUCGUAAUGCUAUUCGAGCGCACAAUGCGUCGGAAAUACCCAAUUAGGUUUUUAGAGAGGUCAAUUGCACAAUAGAAACUUUCAUGAGCAAAGCCCAAUUUGGGUGCCUAUCGCAUUGUAAUAUCAAAACCUAGGGUUUGAUUCUAUUGGAAGCAAAAGUAGCUUCAUUAUACUCUAAAUAAAGCAUUAGAACCAUUCUUAGGCUUUCCAAAACCCUAGUUUGGAUUUCACCAUUAGAGGUGGCCCAAGCUCACCUAUGUAUCAAAACUAGGUUUUGAUCUCUUUAGAAGCAAAAGAAAGCUUCAAAACUACUAGAUAUUCCAUUAAAAACCGUCCUUAGGUUCAUUCAAACCCAUUUCUAGGGUUUUAGCAUGAUUAGGGUUAAAGCUUACCUCAAAGCUUUCCCUAACUUGCACUAGAGAGAAAGAAGAUGAAGCCUCUUUUGCUCUUUGAUCUUCUUCUUCACUUUCCUCUCCUACUUUUCCUUCUUUUCCUUGUCUUCUUCUUCUCCUUCUUUGUCUUCUAGAGAGAGAAAGAGAGGAGAGAGUGUGAGAGGGAGUGGAAUGAGAGGAAAAGCCCCUCAGCCCACUACAUAGCUCAAUGGGUUGCAAAAAUGCAAGAAAACCCCUCAACUUUUAUCUCUGUGCACUGCCUGGACUGGGCAGUUUUCGCAGGCAGAGACCGGUCUCCCCGAGCAGGGACCGGUUCCCGAACGUCCACCCUGCGCAGCCAGAGUCGCUGCGCGCGAUGCGACCGGUCUCUCUCCGAUGGGACCGGUCUCUGGGGGACCGGUCUCUCAAGCAGAGACCGGUUCCCGAGAGCUACCUUCCAGGACUUAGCCGAUUUUUCGGCUGUCUCCUUCUGCACGCGUUCGGGGACCGGUCUCUCCCUUCAUGGACCGGUCCCCGAGAGCUGAAAAUCUGCAGUUUUGCAGAAUUCAAUUCUUAAGCUCUCGAAAACCUUCCACAACUCACUUUCAAUCACUUUAACACCUUCGGACUUUCCGAAGUGUUCCAUCCUCGCACUUUGGUCAAUUUGACUAAAGUUCGACAUUUUUAUUUUCCGAAUUUUCGGUAUAUUACAUUCUCCACCCCUUAAAAUAAUUUCGUCCGCGAAAUUACGCAUACCUUAACUCGUCGACUCGAAUAAAUGCGGAUAUUCUCUCCGCAUUAACUCCUCGAGCUCCCAAGUGGCUUCUCGCGCCGCGUGGUUGCUCCAUUGGACCUUUACAUAGGGGAUUUUGCGACUCCGCAACUUCUUAACCUCUCGAUCGAGGAUGCACACGGGAUACUCCUCAUAGGACAUAUCUUCACGUAGCUCCACGGGCUCGUAUUCCAAUACAUGUGCCGCGUUCCGGAUAUACUUUCGAAGAUUCGACACAUGAAACACAUUGUGAACUCCCGCGAGUCUCGGUGGUAGUGCGAGCUUGUACGCAACCGCACCCACACGUUCCAAUAUCUCAAACGGUCCGACAUAUCGGUGACUUAGCUUCCCACGGACCCCGAAUCGUUUAACUCCUCGCAUUGGCGACACUCUCAAGAAUACACGGUCUCCAACCGCGAACUCUAAAUCCUUUCUUCGCUUGUCGGCAUAACUCUUUUGCCGAGAUUGCGCCAUCGCCAACCGUUGACGGGCAAGGCGAACUUUCUCUUCCGCCUCCCGCACUACAUCUGGGCCAAGAGCCGCUCUCUCGCCCACGUCGCUCCAAUGGAUAGGAGAACGACACUUUCGACCAUAUAGUGCCUCAAAAGGCGCCAUCGCUAUACUUUCUUGGUAGCUGUUAUUGUAGGCGAAUUCCGCCAUAGGCAAGAAAUCAUGCCAUCCUCCUUUAUAAUCUAGCACACACGCUCGAAGUAAAUCCUCAAGGAUUUGUAUCGUUCGCUCCGACUGUCCAUCGCUUUGAGGAUGAAACGCUGUACUGAAGUCGAGUCGUGUGCCUAGCGUGUCUUGCAAACUCUUCCAAAAAUGGGAUGUGAACCUGGGGUCGCGAUCCGACACGAUCGAUACUGGAACCCCAUGAAGUCUCACAACCUCGUCGAGAUAAACUUGCGCUAGCUUGUCUCCCGACCACGUAGUAUGUAUCGGUAAGAAGUGUGCCGACUUUGUCAAUCGAUCCACUAUUACCCAUAUCGCAUCGUGUCCGCCUUGUGAUCGAGGCAAACCGGUAACAAAGUCCAUCGCUACAUUUUCCCAUUUCCAAACGGGUAUUGGUAGACUUUGUAACUUUCCCGCCGGAAAUCGGCGCUCGGCCUUCAUCUGUUGGCAGCGUUAGACAUUGCGCCGCUAUCGAACUCUCUCAUAUCCUCUUUUCAUACCGGCCACGAAUAAUGUUCUUUCAAAUCUUUGUAAUUUUAGUGCACGCCGGGGUGUAUACUAUAAGGGAGAUGAUGCGCUUCUUGGCAUAUUCGCCCUUCGUAGUUUUCAUUCAAUCUUUAGGGCCACCACAUCGAUUUUGAAAUCGAAGUAGCGCCCAUAGCUCAAUGCCAAAAUUUCGCUUUACCGCUCUCAAGCAUGAACCCCCGACCUUUUGGAGAUAGGAUCCGAAGUUUGUAACUACUUGAAUUCUCUCCACAGGGUCGGUUGCACAACUAAUAGUGGCAAGUGCAGCCGGCCUCCCGCGCUAUCACUUCCAGACCGAAUCGUUGAUUUCUUUUUGUAAUUAGCGGUUGGGGCGUAUUGCCAUCGCUGAAGUUUUCCUGCCGAUUUUCUAACUCAAUGGCUUCGGCCAAAUAUGGUUUUCCGGGGUGGUAUAAUAUAAGUACAUCAUAGUCUUUAGAGCUUCUAACACCUGCCGGCUGUCCGACGUUCAACUCUUUCUGGUGAACAAGUCUUUAGGCUCUUGUGAUCGUAUAUACUCCAUGAUUUCCCCUACGUAUAUGCCAAUCCAAAGCCUUUAGCGGGAAAAUCACGCGGCUAACUCGAGUCGUGAAUCGGUAAGGUUCUUGCUGCAUAGCUCUUACUUGGCGCGAUGCAUAACAAAUAACGUUCGCCCAUUUGCAUUAAUACACACCCGAGACCACACAUACGAGGAUCACUCGUACACCUACAAAAGUCUCUCUCUAGGAGGUUGGCAAGGCAAGCACGGGGUCGACGUCAUGCUGUUCUUUAAUCUCNNNNNNNNNNNNNNNNNNNNNNNNNUUCUUUCAAGCAGAGACCGGUUCCGAGAGGCUACCUUCCAGGACUUUAGCCGAUUUUCGAGCUGCUCUCCUUCUGCACGCGUUCGGGACCGUCUUCCCUUCAGGGACGGUCGCCGAGGAGCUGAAAUCUGCAGUUUUGCAGAAUUCAAUUUCUUAGCUCUCGAAAACCUUCCACAACUCAUUUCAAUCACUUUAACACCUUCGGACUUUCCGAAGUGUUCUCCUCGCAUUGGUCAAUUUGACUAAGUUCGACAUUUUUAUUUUUUCGAAUUUUCGGUAUAUUACAUCCACCCAUCCUAGGACUACUCCUAUCCUAGCACGCUUAACUCUCUUAACCUCUGUGGCCUUGCCACCACCCAAAAUGCUUAAGCCGGGUUAAGAGUUUAGCCCUAUUAUAUUCUCAUAUAUAGGACUACUCUGGGUCUCACAAUCUCCCCUCCUUUAAGCCCUGACGUCCUCGUCAGGCUCAGACUCACAAGUACCAGGCGAUGUGAGAUCUCUCGCUAUCCCGUCAUCCAGACUGGGCUCAGCCGAGACUCAAUCUCCACACUUCCGGCCUAGUAAUCUGGCUUGAGUACCAAUCUGGACGCCUCGCUUCCCAUGGGUUACUCACUAGCAUACAGACUACUGCCAUCCUAAGCAUUCCUAGCACGCUUAACUCUCUUAACCUCUUGGGCCUUGCCACCACCCAAAAUGCUUAAGCCGGGUUAAGAGUUUAGCCCUAUUAUAUCUCAUAUAUAGGACUAUCUGGGGUCUCACAUUGACACUUGGCAUUGAACAUAGGGAUUAGUUGAGUUCCCUAGUGUGGCAUAUUGCAUGAGAAUUUAGUGUAGUUGAUACUACUGCAUUGAAUAUAGGGACAGGUGAAUUUUCCUAGUUGUGAUUCGGGUAGAAAACCUAAAGUGUUAUGUUGAUAACCCUAGAUGGUAGGGUAUUCCAUGUUCCCAGUUCAUGAGAUUGGAUCAAGCUCACAUAGCCUGUCUGCACCUGUGGUGGUCGCUCCACACAGGUAGUGCACUCCGGAGUUUGUCACACGAGGGGGGCCAGUGUAGUUGCCCUUGGACCAUUGUAGCUGUCCGCAAGCGGUCUCGGGGGUAGUCGAGCAGUGGGACUCCUCCCCUAUGAGACUUACACACGUGAGACUGUGCGCGAGCCUCGAGUUUGCCGAGAGACUGGGUAACCUGAUGAGUUACAUUAUUAGUGUGCAUAAUAGCUUGGUACUUAGCCUUAGCCUUAUUGAUGAACCUAGUAGUAUGGUAGUUAGCCUUUACUAUGAGUUACAUCGAUAUUGAGCAUAGUCGCUUGGUAGUUGGAUUAGUGAAUUUGCCUACAUACAGUGAGUGGACGUACUAUUCCUUCACCUGUGAGAUCCGAGAGGGACAGCUUGUACCUAGUAGAGCGAGAUUGAGUCGGGCGAGGAGCGGGGUAGCUCUUUGCCUAGGACCUUUGAGAUUGAGUCAGGCAAGAAGCGGGGUAGCUCUUUGCCUAGGACCUUCGAGAUUGGGUCGGGCGAGGAGAGGGGUAGCUCUUUGCCUAGGACCGUUGAGAUUUGAGAUCUUAGGCAAGUUGGCCUAGUCGAUUGGGUUGUAACAUGAAUAGCAUAAGUGGAUUGCAUUCAUACCAUGAUUAGACAUAGUAGACUGCAUAACUAUGUUGUAGUUGUAUUCAUUACACUGUUGAAGCAUACUAGCAUGAUAGUAGGUUAUUGCUAGAUGAUGUUCCAUGCAUUCUUUGCAUUUGAUGGCAUAGUAGAUAUAGUAGCAGUUUAUUUCUAUCUACCUUUCUAUCUAUCUAUCUGUGCCAGCUUGGACCUAGUGGGAAGAUCGGCGGAGUCGGCGGCCGAACCUACUGGGAACUAUAUUUAUAUAGUUCUCACCCCGUGUGGUUUUGGGGUACAGGUAUACUCGAGAGCGGACCAGCAGAUGAUCGCGACAAGGGCUUAGUGCCCUAGUGCUAGUUGGUAGAUGCUUUCCUAUUGCAUUAGUUGUCACCCUAUAUACUUGAGAGUAGAUGAUGUAUAGGUGUGAGGCUAUUUUGGAAAAAUGUAAACUUUAAGUUAUGUUGUAUAUUGGCAGAAUGUAAAGUUAAUCAAAUGUAUAAAGUUGAAUGAAUGUAAUAACUUAGUCUCUCUCUCUUUUAUUCACUUGUAUGUUAUUACUCGUGAUGCUUGCUCAUGUGAUGUUCAGCACUGUUUGUACUCUCGCUAUUGUUGCAUGAUCGUGUAUGUAUUCAACUUGAUUUCCUGGGGACUUGUUGUACACGAUCGUGUUGUUUAGCCUUGGGCGGACAGGGGAGGUGCUGUCCGUACGACGGUCCGCCCGCCGCGCCCGAACCGUGCCAAAUCGGUAGCGGCCUCGGGGCGGGGGCGUGACAAUAUCCUUAGAGUUAAGGAUCGAUCAUACUUGCUAUGAGUUCCGUGCUCGAGGGCGGUCGCUCCCCCUCGAGCGAUGCGCUCCGGAGUUUUGCAUCACGGGUUGGAGUAAACCCGAGGACGGUUUUAGCGGGAGGCAGCUGAGGGCCCGCCAUGAUGGACUUAAUGUGGGCAAGUUAAUGUGACGAAACCCCCGGAUUAGCCGUGAGAUUAAAGAACAAGAACAAAGAUUAAAGAAUAAAGAGUAAAGAACAAAGAACCUGCAUACUUGCAUGAUUUGCGUUGAAAAUAUUUCCUUCUUUAUUGUUCAAACAUAUUAGCAUCAUGAUUAUAGUUUGGUUACUAUUCUGCUUAUCCUUUCUAUUAUGCCUGAGUUAGUCAUAGUGGGAAAGUCGGUGAGAUUGGUGCCGAACCCACUGGGAACUUUGUUGUAGCUCUCACCCCACUAUUUUCCACAGAGCCGGGACCGAGCAAGCCGGCGAGCGACCGCGGUAAAGGUAUCGCACCCUAGACAGUGGCCACCCGAGUCGGGCUUUAAAUUUUGUUAGUAGUAUACCCUUUUAUCAUCUUUUGUAUUUGAUGAUUUAAGAUGUUGAUGUAUCAAGCAAAGAAAGAAAAGAUUGUAAAGUUUAUUUUGAGGCAUUGUGAUGUAAUGAAAUGUAAAGAAUCAUGAAUAUGAAAGUUAAAUGCAAUGUAUGUGAUCAAAAGAGAAUUAUAGUACUUGUGUAGAUGUUUAGUUCCCUUUCUUUCACUCAUGGCUAUUGCUUACCCUCGUGUAAGCCGUUUGUGUAUGUUUCCGCUAGUGCACUUCUUGUUUGAAAAUGUACAGGUGAUGUGACGCCCCAACUUCCCAGGGGGUCACCCAUCCUAGGACUACUCCCAUCCUAGCACGCUUAACUCUCUUAACCACUUGGGCCUUGCCACCACCCAAAAUGCUUAAGCCGGGUUAAGAGUUUAGCCCUAUUAUAUCUCAUAUAUAGGACUACAUUGGUCUCAGCAAUCUCCCCUCCUUUAAGCCCUGACGUCGCUCAGUCAGGCUCAGACUCACAAGUACCAGACAGAUGUGUGACUCGUCUCGCAUCCGUCAUCCAGACCCUGCUCAGCCGAGACUCAUCUCACAUUCCGGCUGUAAUUGCUCUGAUACAUCUGUGACGCCCCGACUUCCCAGAGGGUCACCAUCCUAGGAACUACUCUCGUCCUAGCACGCUAACUCUCUAAAACCUCUUAGGCUUGCCACCACCAAAAUGCUUAAGCCGGGUUAAGAGUUUAGCCCUAUUAUAUCUUAUAUAUAGACUAUCUGGGGUUCACAAUCUCCCCUCCUUUAAGCCCUGACGUCCUCGUCAGACUCAGACUCACAAGUACCGCGAGGGAUGUGAGACUCGUCUCGCUAGCCGUCAUCCAGACCCUAUGGCUCAGCGAGACUGCAUCUCACACUUCCGUGGUAAUUGCGCUUCUGAUACCAUCCGUGACGCCCAGCUUCCCAGGGGUCACCCAUCCUAGGACUACUCCCGUCCUAAGCAUCGCUUAACUCUCUUAACUCGCGGCUUAAGCAUUUUGGGUGGUGGCAAGGCCCAAGAGGUUAAGAGAGUUAAGCGUGCUAGGACGGGAGUAGUCCUAGGAUGGGUGACCCCCUGGGAAGCUGGGGCGUCACAGGUGAUGAGCCUUGGGCGGAUAGGGAAAAUUCUGUCCGUUCGGCGUCUGUUUGACCUGCUCGGGCCGGCCCAAAUUGGUAUUGGCUCCGGGGGGCGAACGGCGCGGUUGGCGGCCGAACCCACUGGGAACUUCUUCUAGUUCUCAUUACCACUAACCCUGCAGACCCGUACGCAAGCGGGGCGGCGGAGGAUCGAGGCAAGGGUAUUGCACCGUAGCUAGCGGCCUCGGAGUAUAGGCAUACCCUACAUUUUGACUAUUCAACUUUUGUAUGUUGAACUAGUAAUGUAAAAUAAUGUAAACCUUAUACUUUGGGAUAAAAGCCAAUGUGAUGUAAAUGAAUGGAUAAAAUGAAUGUAAAUGUAAUAGUUUACUUGUGUUUGAUUCAAAGGAAAUCAAAUGACUUGUAUGUUGAAUGUUUAGUUAGUAUCGAUGCUUUCAUGUAUUUGUUGUUGUUUGCCCUCGUGCAAACCUUGUAUAUCUUGCAAUCUCCUUGUUGACUUGCUUGUAAUAUACAUGUUGUUUGAGCCUUGGGCGGACAGGGGAGCUGCUGAUCGUUCGGCGUUUGUUCGCGUGCCCGAACCGACCAAAUUGGCGGCCCCCGGGGCGUGACAGAUAUGGUGGUAUCAGAGCGAUGUGAAAGCAAAAGUUUAGGAUGGACUUAGGGACCUUAGGAUUGGAAACUUAAGGAAUUUAGGACAUGUAUGACGUGGACUUGGAGAUGCGAAGGCUAAUGGAUUGGGUUAUGAUUAAAACUUCUCUAAAAGGAGUUAGAGAAGGAUUCAAGUGCUUAUUGUUUUCUUCUUGAAAUGUUAUGUGGGCGGCCGACUACAUGACGCCGAGAGUUGAAAAUGAACACACUUGUUUGCUUUCGCUUGAUUCGGUAGUUCUUUGGAACGUAUAAGGUGAGUAUGUCGAGUAUUAAUGCGUGUGUUAACGUUUCAGGAACAAAUGUCCCCGAGACGUUAUACGCGUCGGUCCGCUUCGGCAUUACCUGAUGAGGUGCCCGAGCAAGUUGGAUCUGAUGAAGUCCGAGAGUUGCGGACCCAAGUAGCAACUUUGACUGGGGCUAUACGACAGCAAGGGGAUCAGAUAGGAUGGCUCCAUGAGUUGGUGGCUCGACAGGCAGCGGCGGCUGCACCUGUACCUCAGGACCCGCCCAUACCUGUAGCACCUACUCCGGUGGCGGCGGCACCGGUGACGGCUUUUCCUCCGACGGCUUCGGGUUCUUCAGCUCCUAUCCCGGAGGUACUUGAGGCCGAGCAGGAGUGGUCGUUGGCGGUGUUGACGGCCUUCAAGCAAUUUAAUCCUCCGACCGUUUUGGGUGAUGUGAAUGACCCAUGGUUGAUGGAGUCAUGGCUUUCCGCGAUGGAGGCGUUGUUUGAAGAUAUCUACACCCUCGAGAAGGACAAGGUUCGUCUGUCGGCUCACUGUUUAGAGGGGCCGGCUCGAUCAUGGUGGACGCGAGUAAAGAAUGGUCGGUCUUUGGAUCCGGCUACAUGUCUUGGGAGACGUUCCGGGAGAUCCUGUUAAUAGAGUAUUUCCCAGAAAGCGACAAGUGGAAGAUCAAGGAGGACUUUCACAAAUUAAGGCAAGGAAACCGAACGGUGCAGGAGUACGAAAGGGAGUUCUCGCACAUGGUGGAUUGUGUUUCGGGCUUGGUUCAUGGAGACCGGGACCGAGCGGAGGUCUUCGAGCGCGGCAACGCCUUCGGGUGAAGACCUAUGAAGAGGUACUCGAUCGCGCGCUGUGGGUAGAGCGCGGCAACGCCAUUGUGCGCGAGGAAUGCGAGGCGUUGAAAGGGACAAGGAUAAGGAAAAGUCCAAGAAGCCACCGGCUUGUGGUUCCACUGGGCAGUCGAGUUCUAAGCAACCCCUUUGGUACCCAAGAUCGCAUUGGCGGGGAGGCAGAGGCCAGUCAAGGAGUCAGAUGACUUCCUUCCCGUGUGUGAUCUGUGGCGGAAACCACAAGUCGAGUGAUUGUUCUCAGCGCGAUGGGAGGUGUUUCCGAUGCGGCCAAGCGAGACACAUGAGUUGGGAUUGCCCGGGCGGCGCGUCACCUACUUCGUCAGCUACUUUGGCUAAGUAUGCUCCACGACAGCUUGCAGGGCUGCCACCUGCUAUGUCGGCUGGGCGCGCUUCAGCACCGCGUCAGCCGGAGGGGUCACGUGCAUCGAGUGGACGGGUUUUCGCCACUCAGGUGGAGGAGCAGUCUGCUGUACCGGAGGACGUCGUGGCAGGUAUUAUUCUAAUUAAUGGCAUUAGAGCUAGAGCAUUGUUUGAAACGGGUGCAUCACACUCAUUCAUUGGUGCAUCGUUUGCUAAGACUCAUGGCAUGGAGAUAGUACAUAAUUAUGACUAUUGGUGGGUUAACGCACCAGAGCAUUUGUUUAGAGUUCACGAGCAGUGCUUAGCUUGUCCGGUUCAAAUAGGCGAGUGGAUCAUGCCGGCGAACUUACUAGUGUUGAAGCAGAUGUGGAGAUUUGAUCUCAUCUUAGGAGUUAAUUGGCUCUCCAAGUAUUAUGCCAGCAUUGACUGUGACAGUAAGGUGAUCACUUUUCGUGAGCCUGGUCAAGAGGAGCUCGUGUAUCAAGAGUGCAAAAGUUCGCGCUUCGCGGUGACUGUGUCGGCGCCGAGGGCGAGAAAGAUGAUCAAAAGUGGAUGUAAGGCCUAUUUGGCGACUAUCGUGGAUGCUCAGAAGGAACACCCCAAACUUGGAAAUAUCCGAAUUGCGUGUGAAUUUUCGGAUGUGUUUCCGGCGGAGUUACUGGGAUUGCCACCGGAUCGGGAGAUCGAGUUUGUCAUUGACUUAGUUCCCGGUGCGGCGCCAGUUUCGAAGGCUCCGUAUAGAAUGGCACCGGCGGAGCUUAAGGAGUUAAAGGCCCAGUUGCAGGACUUGCUUGACAAAGGCUUUGUGAGGCCGAGCGUGUCAUCAUGGGGAGCUCCGGUGCUCUUUGUUAAGAAGAAGGACGGUACACUUCGACUCUGCGUCGCGAGUUGAAUAAAGUGACGGUCAAGAAUAAAUACCCGUUGUCGAGAAUAGAUGACCUGUUUGAUCAGUUACAGGGUUGCGGGUAUAUUCGAAGAUAGACCUUUAGUCGGGAUAUCACCAGUUGAAGAUCCGGCCGAAGGAUGUACAUAAAACGGCGUAUCGUACGCGGUACGGCCACUAUGAGUUUACGGUGAUGCCGUUUGGGCUUACGAAUGCCCCGGCAGCAUUUAUGGACUUAAUGAAUCGAGUCUUUCAACUGUUGUUGUACAGGUGCGUCGUGGUGUUUAUCGAUGACGUGUUAGUGUUCUCGUGGAGUGAAGAAGAGCACGAGGAACAUCUAAGAACCGUGUUGCAAAUACUUCGAAAUGAGAUGCUUUAUGCUAAGCUUAAGAAGUGCGAGUUUUGGCUUUCGGAGGUGACCUUCUUAGGCCAUGUGCUAUCCGGGAGCGGAGUCUCGGUAGACCCAAGGAAAAUUGAGGCGAUUCGAGAUUGGCCUCGUCCAACGAGUGUGGCUGAACUCCGCAGUUUCCUCGGAUUGGUGGGCUAUUAUCGGCGUUUUGUGGAGGGGUUUGCGAAGCUGACUACUCCUCUCACACGCCUGACGCACAAAGGAGUAAGAUUUGUGUGGAACGAUGGUUGCGACCAAAGCUUCCAAGAGUUGAAAGAGAAGUUGACAUCUAUCCCGGUACUUGCUUUACCAACGCCGGGAGAGAGCUUCGUGGUGUAUAGUGAUGCUUCCUACAAUGGGCUCGGGUGUGUUCUUAUGCAAAAUGGGCGAGUCAUUGCGUAUGCUUCGCGCCAGUUGAAGAGCUAUGAGAAGAAUUACCCGAUACAUGAUCUGGAGUUAGCGGCGGUCAUUUUCGUGCUAAAGCUAUAGAAGCACUAUCUUUAUGGUGAGCAUUGUGAGGUAUAUACCGAUCACAAGAGCCUCAAGUACUUGUUCACCUAGAAAGAGUUAAACAUGCGGCAGCGGCGGCGGUUGGAGCUGUUGAAGGAUUAUGACCUUACUAUCCUGUACCACCCCGGGAAGGCCAACGUGGUUGCCGAUGCACGAAGUAGAAAGUCAGUUGAAAACUUGGUGACGGCGAUUACUAGUCAACCAUUGUUGCAAAAGGAAAUGCAACGGUUUGGAUUGGAAGUGGUGGCGCCGGAGGUUGUGACUAUCUUGGCGGCACUAGUGGUUCGACCGACCUUAUUGGAGCGAAUCAAAGAGCGGCAAGUUGAUGAUUCAUAUCUCCAAAAGGUGUGGGAUAACAUUGACGGCGGACGCGCCGGUGACUUCGGCGUGGGAUCCGACGGUGCACUUCGGUUCAGAAAUCGGUUGUGUGUGCCCAAAGAUGAUGAAGUUCGCAAGAUGGUGUUGCAAGAGGCGCAUCAUUCCCCGUAUAGUAUUCACCCGGGUGGCACUAAGAUGUACAAGGAUCUAAAGUUACAUUAUUGGUGACCGGAAAUGAAGAAAGACAUGGGGAAGUUUGUGGCGCAGUGUUUAACGUGCCAACAAGUGAAGACUGAGCGUCGAUUUCCCGCGGAAAAGUUGCAGAGCUUACCAAUCCCCGUGUGGAAAUGGGAGGACAUAGCAAUGGACUUUGUGGUCGGAUUACCCUGAUCGCAAGCUCGACAUGAUGCCAUAUAGGUGGUUGUGGACCGUUUGACGAAGUCGGCUCAUUUCUUGCCGAUCCACAACACGUGGUCAGGAGACAAGUUAGCACAAGUCUACUUGGGCGAGGUAGUGAGAUUGCAUAGGGUUCCAUUAUCGAUUGUAUUAGAUCGAGACCCCCGGUUCACUUCUCAUUUCUAGAAGAGCUUGCAGAAUGCUCUAGGCACGCGGCUCGAUUUCAGUACGGCGUUUCAUCCUCAAAGUGAUGGCCAGUUAGAGAGGACAAUUCAAAUACUCGAGAAUAUGUUGCGAGCGUGUGUACUUGAUUAUAGUGGAGGGUGGCAUGAGUAUUUGCCGAUGGCGGAGUUCGCUUACAAUAACAGUUAUCAAGAAAGUAUAGCGAUGGCGCCGUUUGAGGCUGUCACGCCCCGGGACCCAGCGGAAGCCCGCCCGGCGCGUGCCCAGACCCGCCAUAUGUCUACAACAUAUAAGGCGUCUAAAAACAACAAUAAUAAAAGCACUAAUACAAGACAUCUAGGAGUAUCAGAGCAUAAUAAAAGUCUAAAUGUUACAACAAGGGAUAAGGUUAAAACUGUAAAUCCACUAAAUAGAACAUAAUGUGGUACAAGAAAAUCCCAGAUACAAGUGCUAUAGGUAGAUACAUAGGUGGUCUCUAUACAUGGAUGCAAAACCUCUCACUCUCUCAACUACAAAAGAAAGAGUAACCACCUAGGCAAGGUACCGCUCCUCGCUAGCUAGCUAAGCGACCCCCUUGCCGCGAUCCCGUGCCUCCGCCGGUGCCGAAGGCUCUGAAAAGGAAACCAUAAAACAGGGGCGUGAGAACUAUUAAAAAUAGUUCCCAGUGGGCAAUUACUGACUUCAGUGAAUGCACCACACGGCCCAAAGCUACAAAAGAGGUCAGUGACUAUAAAAGUAGAAAAGCGAAAAGUAAGUAAAAAUGUAACUUACUACAACAUGAUAUCUCUACUUAGCAUAAUUAACAUAAGUACGAAGCAACUAUACAUGAAGUAAAAGUCUCCAACUAUCAUAAUGUUCACAAUGCGAAAUAGUAAAGUACCGAUGUUUACUAUUCUAGUCAAUGUCCAAGUAAUACUCUAAGUCAUCAUCUGUCCACAUGUCAUAAUAAACACUCAAAGUCAAAUCUGAAGAGACCCACCCGAAGGCUGUCUAUGGCCCUGAGACCCACCCGAAGGCUGUCUGGCCGGUGCCGAGCCUAAUGGCCCCGUGGUAGUCAACAUCCCCACCCUAGGAAUGAGCCUGGCCCACGGCAAUCCACUUCGGCGCCCAAUCCCGCAUGGCGAAUAUGAAUCGCGAUGGCUAUCUCCGGAGUGCCGGCUUAUAGGGAGCGACCCUCACAAGCAUGUGCGAAUGAGCACAAUGGCAAGUAAUCAAACGAUCUGUCGUAAGUACCAAGUCCUCAUGUCUAAUAACAUGGAAUGUGUCAAGUAUAUCAAUGGCCUAUCCCUAUGUCAUCAUGUCUCUAACAUGGAAUAUAGCAGAUGUGGAGUGGCCUAUCAAUAUGUCUCUAUGUUGCAGUUUCAUAGUUUACUAGUCUCAAGUGCCCCUUGAUGACACUCUUGUUCUCUAUGUCAAAGCAUGGCAACUAUGUUCCAAAGUACAUAUUCCAAGUCAUAAUCCUCAUAAGAGAUGUAUUUUCCACUUGCAAAAUAAACAUUUUUCCCAUAUGCAUGCAUUCUACUCAUAUAGCUCUACUAUAUAGUGAAAUUUUCAUGAUACACAAGGCAUGCAUUUUAAGUGCUCCAAAAUUCAUAUAAAUCCCAUUUAGCAUAGAAGUGAAUUUAAAAAUAUUUUACAACAAAUAGAAAGAGCAUAGGGGCCAUUUCGCCCCAUUUCCCCGAAGCCAAACCCACCGAUGACGACGAAACUCCUCGUUCGCUCCAACGAGGGUGUCCUCUAGUCUCCUAGUACCCUAAAGGUGUGAGAACAUGUGUCAUCUAGUCGAAACGAACGACGCUAAGUUCAAUCUUUAAGCUAUUCAAGCAUAGGUGGAGGAAAACUGACCUCUAGUGCAAAAUCUCCUCUAAAGCUCCGAAAGAGAGCUAGAGUCCAUCCAAUCCCACCUAAUGGAAGCCUCUAAACCAAUCAAUCUAGCUUCAAAAGCCCUAGAUUCAAAAUACCCAAAAUAAACCCUAAUAUCACAAUCUCUCCUAUCAAAGUCAUCCUGAUACGAUCGUCAACCAAAGUCAAUUCAUCAGUCCUCAUAUAAGGUUCUAUCCUGAAGGACUCAAUUCCUUGUAACGCGCUCCUGACACGGGAAUUAUCAACUUGGUACCUUCCCUCAUCCAGUUUUCCAUCCAUUCAGUGAGAGUUCCACAACUCAAUCACCUCAAACCUGCCUACGCAGUCCAACCUCGCACAUCCUAUCAAAAUACCCCAAGUCAUCCGCAACGGUUCUACAAAUCCACCCAGAGGCUCGGAUUAUCAUUCCGCGAACCCUUCCACAGGUAGAGUAUUAUAGCUUAGCAGCAUCAUCCUCGUGAUGUCCACACCUAGCAUCACAAACCCAUUUGAGGUACGACCUCAAACUCCAACAUCAACAGCAUUACUCAGAUUACUCACAAUCUUAACAAGUACACCCACAACUCAAGGCCAUCUGACAAGGUCAAUGGGCCUCAGCAACGGUCUAAACCUCCAAUCGUGGUUCAAUUUGAAUCACGAGAGUCGACAUACAGUCGGAACGGCCCAACCGUCCCACAACAGGUGAGAGUGCUCUUCCACGAGGCAAAACACCAUCUAUAAAAUCUCCCUGUCAAUUGAGCUAACGAUUAGUGACUCGAUCGGACAUAACGACCGAUCAAGGACAUUCUUUAUUUCAAGGAUUCUCGAUCACCCAAAGCUAAUGGCCACUCAGGCCCCAACCCUCUCCAACACUUACCCUAUUUUAGGUAAGGGAGACUAUCAACGCAUCUAGCGAAGUAAAUCCUCAAAUCGCACUAUUUCGUGCUCACCGUCCUCAAGGCGAGUCAAGUCAGCUCGCAAUCCAAGGGUACCCAGGUACCCCUAACAACUCCACACAAAGGAAGGCCAAUCUAUUUGUUGCACACAGAAUCAUCUCACGGGUAGGGCGUUCGAAAACGACACACCCGAUCACCGAUCAUCCACACACGCCGAAAAGGUUCACACUACAAAAUCCUCAGGUUGGGUAACUACACACUAAGUGUGUCUCGAUCUCACGAUCCAACACGUGGCUUUCCACGUUCUAGGGUCCACGCUCAGACUACCAUCCUGACCAAAAACUCUGCCCUACCCGCAGGGUACAGGGCGCUGGCACCACAGCCGACGCACCUGCCCAAGGGCCCAGGCUCCAAGUCCCCAAAUGGUCCAAGCACGGGUCUCUCCAAGCACUAUCCGGCAAACAGCCGAGUCCGGGGUACAACUAAUGCAAUCCUCGUGAAAUCUACAAGCAUAGCAAAAUAUGCCACCCGCAACCCGCAAAUCAAUCGCCUGGCUCGAGAGCUACACAAUGUCGCAAACAGCGAAACUAACGAAAUGUAAUGCAACUCGUGAAUACGAUCAUACAGAUGCAAUGCUCCAAUAACCAACAGAUGCACAACUCGAAUGCCACAAACGAAACUGAUACCUGUAGUCACAAACUCGCCGCUGCCGCUACUCUGUCUGGGCCACGUACAGGCGUCUGCUCAGGGCCCGUCGUGACCCUCCGUCUGUCGCUGACGGGUGGCCUUCCGGCCUGACAGUGAGUAAAAGCAUCCCCCGGCUGGGAUCCGGUAAUACUGUACCGAUGCUGAAGAUGGCGCGAUGCUAACCCCUCCGAACAGUCUGCAGGAGUGACCCUCCUGGCCACACGAGUAGCACCUGCCCUGCCAUCUGUGAGCACUGCUGCGGGAAAUGACGGCCACCGCAGAUCACGCAGCUCUGAGUCUGAUGACGCUCGGAUCCUCUAUGCCGUGCUGAUGGCCGUUCUCCGACUGCUGCCUGGCUCCAGUUCUCGGCGGCCUCCCAGAGGUGCGUCUGACUCACCCUCAGUCACGGUCUCAUGCCAUUUCCUUUGUUUGAGCCUUUCCGAGUUUCUGUAGUCUGCCGCGCAGCUUUCCACGAUGGAGCGCGGUUACCACAUUUUGGUAAGUUGAGGAGUGGAGGUUCACAACCGUAAAAUCGACGACCGAAGUCCUCGGCUCGAAGAUGCGAGCUUAUCCUCGUCGUCUCGCACAACAAAGGGCGCAUAGCGUAGAAGCUGAGAGAACUCCUCUCGUACUCGGCCACAGUCCGAUCCUCCUGGCGAUCUCGCGCAAUCCUGCUCCACUUUCUCUUCACCGCGACGAGAGUAUAUGCUCUAAUAAGAGCUCCUUGAAUCUCAAGAAUCGCUGCUAGUCGGUCGGGAUUAUCCUGGAUGCCACACCACCAACUAUAGCCGCCAUCCAAAUGUGAGUGGCGAGCCAAACUCUAUCUCUCUUCUCCACGAAGGUGUCGCGGAAUAACUUCUCAUAAUCAGUCAACCACUUUCAACGAUCAGUGGUCGAUUUUCUCUCCAUCAAAGAUCUGGGAUCGCGCUCCUGAACUCGUCGAGGCAGAUCCAUGAGCGCUGCCGCUCCGCUCUUUCAACCAUCAAGGGAAAAGUCGCCGCUGUCACAGACACCUGAGCGGUGGUGCUGUCAAUGCCUUCUCCCGAAGGGCUACCGUAAGUGUCAUCUGCGAAGUGCGAGUACAGGGAGAUGACCCACGGGCGCAACUAUUUCAACUGCGCGGGUAGUACCGAGACCGAGCCUCCCCGGCAGCUGCCUGUUGUAAAAGAAGGUCCUCCAGGCGCGCAUCGUACUUCCUGUCGGCGUGCGUAUCCACCAGCUGUCGAGCCGCCGCCGCCUGCUGCGUCACCAGAUCAGUGAGGGCCACAAGCUGACUCCUCAAUCACGGACCUCUUUGGAUAGCGGAGGCAGCGGGUAUCUCCGCUUCCUCAAAGUCGCGCAUCGUCCGCUCCAACUACUUAGUGCGUGAAGUAGCAUUGACACUACAACAUCAUAAAAGCGCAAGUUAAUAUAACCCACGCUAUCGCAACCCGCUUCAAUAAUAUAAUCCCAAUAUGCGAAAGUAAAGAGUCCCAACUACUAACUCCGAUGUUACAUGUCGGCGCCAACGUAACGCUCGCGGAAGUUAGAAGUCAAACUACGAUUUAACUCACUUUCUAGAGUUAUCCAAGAUACCCAAUCCAGAUACUUUCGCUUACAAGUCAAAUAGACCUCGUCUCUCCCGAGCCUAUUUCCUAUAGUCCAAUCCGGCCUAAGGUUUGCUAGGUCCCCUAAUACUCAACCCUAGCUCUGAUACCAAAUUAAUCUGUCCAUAUAUCUAUCUGUUUAUUGAACUAACCUGCAGGUUGCCUCUCUUUGACCUAUUGGUCGAGCUUUUCCCUUGGGUGGCCGUACCCACUGGGAACCAUGGAGUUGGUUCUCACCCCACGUUGUUUUGGGGUGUUACAGGUUCGCACGUGAGCGGCGCGGCGGCGCGAGGCAAGGGCGUAGCUUCGUAGAUAGCGCCCUACCCAGAGACCAGAGUUAGCAGUACCCCGUCGACAUAGCUUAGGGGUAUGGGGUGUUAUUAAUGAAAAGAACACAAUGUAUCAACGUGUAAAUAAAUUUGUAAGAACUUAGAUUGCAUUUGGAUGAAAAAGAAUGUAAAAAGAACUGUGAUGUAAAAAGUAUGAAUGUAAAUGUUUGUAAUAAUAUAGGAUGUGUUUAUGUUGUUUGAUACCUUCCAUUAUGCAAUCUUGAUUGAUAUCAGUUCCUGAUUGGAACCUUCGUAUUGUAUGGAUUGCGUUGCCUUGAAUGUACAGGGGAGACUCUGUCCGCAGUACAGGGGAAACCCUGUCCAUUCGGCGAUGUCGGCGGCGCUGCGACCUCGGCCAAAUAGGCGGGUGGUCGCGAGUCGUGACAGGAACACUGUCAACGACCCACCAGAAAGUCUGGAAAAGCUCGACACACAAAUCAAACACUCGAACCUCGCAAUUUGCAAAGGUCCAGUGUGUUACAUUCACCCCUCCUAAAAAGGAGUUUCGUCCGCGAAACUCAAGGCAGAAACACACCUCAAGGCUCCAUCUGAAAAAGAUGAGGAUAGCGCUCCUGCAAAGCGCUCUCUAGUUCCCACGUUGCCUCCCGCUCCCCGUGGUUGCUCCAAAGAACCUUCACAUACGGAAUAUCCCGAUUCCGCAGUUUCUUCAUUUCGCGAGCCAAAAUCUUCACUGGUUGCUCCUCGAAGCUCAAAUCCUCGCGCAGCUCCACUGGUAUAGCUUCCAAGACAUGAGCUGGAUCAAGAAUGCACCUCCGAAGGACCGAUACAUGAAAGACGUUGUGCACGCCAGAUAGGUUCGGUGCUAGAGCAAGUCGAUACGCUACCGGACCCAUACGCUCCAAGAUCUCAUACGGUCCAAUGAAACGGGGGCUCAACUUUCCCCGAAUCCCGAAUCUCUUGAUUCCUCUAGUCGGCGAGACUUUCAAGAAAACAUGGUCUCCCACUUGGAACUCCAAGUCCCGCCGCCGUCGAUCAGCGUAGCUCCUCUGUCUACUCUGCGCCGUCAAAAGUCGCUCCCGAGCAAUUCGAACCUUAUCCUCAGCUUCCUGGAGCACAUCAGGGCCUAAAGCCAAUCUCUCGCCGACUUUACUCCAAUGAAGUGGCAAUCUACACUUCCGUCCAUAGAGUGCUUCAAACGGCGCCAUCUUGAUGCUUGCUUGAUAACUGUUGUUAUAAGCAAACUCCGCCAUAGGUAGAUGCUGCGACCAUCCUCCCUGGAAAUCCAUCACACAUGCCCGGAGCAUAACCUCUAAAGUCUGUAUAGUGCACUCCGACUGUCCAUCACUCUGCGGGUGGAAUGCGGUGGUGAAAUCCAAUCAAGUGCCCAAAACGUCCUGCAGACUCCUCCAAAAGAGAGACACGAACCGAGUGUCUCGAUCUGAUACUAUCGGUGUAGGCACUCCAUGAAGUCGCACAAUCUCGUCGAGGUACACUUGUGCGAGCUUCUCCCCAGUCCAAGUCAUAUGAAUACGUAUGAAGUGCGCCGACUUCGUCAAUCUAUCCGCGAUCACCCAAAUAGCAUCAUGCCCAGCCUGUGAGCGAGGCAAUCCUGUCACAAAGUCCAUGGUGAUCUUCUCCCACUUCCACACAGGGACAGGUAAACUCCGAAGCUUCCCUGCGGGAACUCGGUGCUCCACUUUUACUUGUUGGCAAGUUAGACAACGAGCCACAAACUCACCAACGUCCUUUUUCAUCUCGGGCCACCAAUGAAGCAACUUUAGAUCCUUGUACAUCUUGGUGCCACCCGAAUGUAUAGCAUAGAGCGCCCGGUGCGCUUCUUGAAGAAUAUCUUCUUUAAUCCCCGAAUCCGCGGGUAUACAAAUCCGCCCACGGAAACGUAUCCAUCUCAGAUCAUCCCAAAAGGGAGUCGCUGGUGCAACCAUCAACCAUUUUACCUUGAAUCUUUUGCAAUUCCAAAACGAAAACUUGCUUCUCUUUGAUCCUAUCCAAAAGACUAGGUUGCACUACCAAAUUCAUCAACCUCAAAUUCACCACUCGGGAGUACUCUCAAUCCCACUGCAAAAUAUGGUCGGGGCUAAGCUCAAAAGCUUCAUCAGUCUACUAAGAUCGUCAUCUUAGUGCUAACUCAAGUCCAAGUAAACUCUCACAAGCCUAGGCCAAAAGGCCUAGCUUCGACAGAAGGCUCACAACGCAAUCACUUUGAAAUUUCCGAUCCCAAUGCCUUUCCUAGCAUUGGAUGCUCCAGGUGUCCAUGGUCCCCAACUCAAUUCUCGCGAUAGAGGUGGAUCAAUCCACCGUUCAACGACAGCUCUCUAUCAAAGUCAUCCUGAUGCGAUCGUCAAACCAAAGUCAAUUCCAUCAGUCCUCAUAUAAGGUUCUAUCCUGAAGGACUCAAUUCCUUGUACGCGCUCCUGACACGGGGAAUUAUCAACUUGGUACCUUCCCUCUCACAAGUUUUCCAUCCAUCAGUGAGAGUUCCACAACUCAAUCACCUCAAACCUGCCUACGCAGUCCAACCUCGCACAUCCUAUCAAAAUACCCCAAGUCAUCCGCAACGGUUCUACAAAUCCACCCAGAGGGCUCGGAUUUAUCAUUCCGCGAACCCUUCCACAGGUAGAGUAUUAUAGGCUUAGGCAGCAUCAUCCUCGUGAUGUCCACACCUAGCAUCACAACCCAUUUGAGGUACGACCUCAAACUCCAACAUCAACAGCAUUACUCAGAUUACUCACAAUCUUAACAAGUACACCCACAACUCAAGGCCAUCUGACAAGGUCAAUGGGCCUCAGCAACGGUCUAAACCUCCAAUCGUGGUUCAAUUUGAAUCACGAGAGUCGACAUACAGUCGGAACGGCCCAACCGGUCCCACAACAGGUGAGAGUGCUCCUCCACGAGGCAAAACACCAUCUAUAAAAUCUCCCUGUCAAUUGAGCUAACGAUUAGUGACUCGAUCGGGGACAUAACGACCGAUCAAGGACAUUCUUUAUUUCAAGGAUUCUCGAUCACCCAAAGCUAAUGGCCACUCAGGCCCCAACCCUCUCCAACACUUACCCUAUUUUAGGUAAGGGAGACUAUCAACGCAUCUAGCGGAAGUAAAUCCUCAAAUCGCACUAUUUCGUGCUCACCGUCCUCAAGGCGAGUCAAGUCAGCUCGCAAUCCAAGGGUACCAGGUACCCCUAACAACUCCACACCAAGGAAGGCCAAUCUAUUUGUUGGCACACAGAAUCAUCUCACGGGGUAGGGCGUUCGAAACGACACACCCGAUCAACCGAUCAUCCACACACGCCGAAAGGUUCAACACUAACAAAUCCUCAGGUUGGGUAACUACACACUAAGUGUGUCCUCGAUCUCACGAUCCAACACGUGGCUUUCCACGUUCUAGGGUCCACGCUCAGACUACCAUCCUGACCAAAACUCUGCCCUACCCGCAGGUACAGGGCCGCUGUCACACACAGCCGACUGCACCUGCCCAACGGGCCCAGGCUCCACAGUCCCCAAAUGGUCCAAGCACGGUCGUCUCCAAGCACUAUCCGGCAAACAGCCGAGCCGGGGUACAACUAAUGCAAUCCUCGUGAAAUCUACAAGCAUAGCAAAAUAUGCCACCCGCAACCCGCAAAUCAAUCGCCUGGCUCGAGAGGCUACACAAUGUCGCAAACAGCGAACUAACGAAAUGUAAUGCAACUCGGUGAAUAGCCGAUCAUAGAUGCAAUGCUCCAAUAACCAACAAUGCACAACUCGAAUGCCACAAACGAAACUGAUACCUGUAGUCACAAACUCGGCCGCUGCCGCCUACUCUGUCUGGGCCACGUACAGGCGUCUGCUCAGGGCCCGUCGUGACCCUCCGUCUGUCGCUGGACGGGUGGCCUUCCGGCCUGACAGUGAGUAAAAGGCAUCCCCCGGCUGGGAUCCGGUAAUACUGGUACCGAUGCUGAAGAUGGCGCUGAUGCUAACCCCCUCGAACAGUCUGACAGGAAGUGACCCUCCUGGCCACACGAGUAGCACCUGCCCUGCCUCUGUGAGCACUGCUGCGGGUAAUGACGGCCACCGCAGAUCACGCAGCUCUGAGUCUGAUGACGCUCGGAUCCUCUAUACAGUGCUGAUGAGCCACGUUCUCGCGACUGGCUCCAGUUCCUGGAAUGUCUCGGCGGCCUCCCAGAGUGCGUCUGACUCGCACCCUCAGUCACGGGUCUCAUACCAUUUCCUUUGUUUGAGCCUUUCCGACGCUCCUGUAAGUCUGCCGCGCAGCUUUCCACGAUGAGGGCGCGGUUCACCACGUCUUGGUAAGUCUGAAGGUGGAAGGGUUGCACCAACCGUAAAAUCGAUGACCGAAGUCCUCGCUCGAAGAUGCGAGCCUUAUCCUCGUCGUCUCGCACAACAAAGGGCGCAUAGCGUAGAAGCUGAGAGAACUCCCUCUCGUACUCGGCCACAGUCCGAUCCUCCUAGCGCAUCUCGGGCAGAUCCUGCUCCACUUUCCUCUUCACGCGGACGAGGAAGUAAUGCUCUAAUAAGAGCUCCUUGAAUCUCUUUCAAGAAAUCGCUGCUAGGUCGGUGUCGGGAUUAUCCUGGAUGCCCACCCACCAACUAUAGGCCUCGCCGUCCAAAUGGUGAGUGGCGAGCCAAACUCUAUCUCUCUCCUCCACGAAGGUGUCGCGGAAUAACUUCUCCAUAUGCGUCAACCACUUCUCAACGAUCCAGUGGUCGGUUUUCUCUCCAUCAAAGAUCCUGGGAUCGCGCCUCCGGAACUCGUCGAGGCGAUCCAUGAGCCGCUGCCGCUCCGCUCUUUCAACCAUCAAGGGAAAAGUCGCCGCUGUCACAGACACCUGAGCUGGUGGUGCUGUCAAUGCCUUCUCCCGAAGGGCUACCGUAAGUGUCAUCUGCGAAGUGUCGAGUACAGGGGAUGACCCCCCCGGGCGCAACUAUUUCCACUGGUGCGGGUAGUACCGAGACCUGAGCCUCCCCGGCAGCUGCCUGUUGUAGAAGAAGGUCCUCCAGUCGCUGCAUCCGUACCUCCUGUCGGCGUGCCGUAUCCACCAGCUGUCGAGCCGCCGCCGCCUGCUGCGUCACCAGAUCAGUGAGGGCCACAAGCUGACUCCUCAACUCACGGACCUCUUUGGAUCCGGAGGCAGCGGGUAUCUCCGCUUCCUCAAAAGUCGUCGCAUCGUCCGCUCCAACUAACUUAGAGCGUGAAGUCGGCAUUGACACUUCAACAUCAUAAAAGCGCAAGUUAAUAUAACCCACGCUAUCGCAACCACGCUCAAAUAAUAAUACCCCAAAUCAUGCGAAAGUAAAGAAGUGUCCCAACUACUAACUCCCGAUGUUACGUUGUCGGCGGCCAACGUAACGCUCCGCGAAGUUAGAAGUCAAACACUCCGAUUUAACUCCACUUUCUAGAGUUAUCCAAGAUACCCAAUCCAGAUACUUUCGCUUACAAGUCAAAUAGACCUCGUCUCUCCCGAGCCUAUUUCCUAUAGUCCAAUCCGGCCUAAGGUUUGCUAGGUCCCCUAAGACUCAACCCUAGGCUCUGAUACCAAAUUAAUCUGUCACGCCCCGGGACCCAGCGGAAGCCCGCCCGGCGCGUGCCCAGACCCGCCAUAUGUCUACAACAUAUAAGGCGUCUAAAAACAACAAUAAUAAAAGCACUAAUACAAGACAUCUAGGAGUAUCAGAACAGAAUAAAAGUCUAAAUGCUACAACAAGGGAUAAGGAUAAAGCUGUAAAUCCACUAAAUAAACAUAAAGUGAUACAAGGAAAAUUUCAAAUACAAGUGCUAUAGGUAGAUACAUAGGUGGUCUCUAUACAUGGAUACAAAAACUCUCACUUUCUCAACUACAAAAGAAAGUGUAAACCACCUAGGCAAAGUACCGCUCCUUGCUAGCUAGCUAAGCGAUCCCCGUGCCGCGAUCCCGUGCCUCCGCCGGUGCCGAAGGCUCUGAAAAGGAAACCAUAAAACAGGGGCGUGAGAACUAUAAAAAAAUAGUUCCCAGUGGGCAAUUACUGACUUCAGUGAAUGCACCACAAGGCCCAAAGCUACAAAAGAGGUCAGUGACUAUAAAAGUAGAAAAGCGAAAAGUAAGUAAAAAUGUAACUUACUACAAUAUGAUAUCUCUACUUAGCAUAAUUAGCAUAAGUACGAAGCAACUAUGCAUGAAGUAAAAGUCCCCAACUAUCAUAAUGUUCACAAUGCGAAAUAGUAAAGUGCCGAUGUUUACUAUUCUAAUCAAGGUCCAAGUAAUACACUAAGUCAUCAUCUGUCCACGUGUCAUAAUGAACACUCAAAGUCAAAUCUGAAGAGACCCACCCGAAGGCUGUCUAUGGCCCUGAGACCCACCCGUAGGCUGUCUGGCCGGUGCCGAGCCUAAUGGCCCCGUGGUAGUCAUCAUCCCCACCCUAGGAAUGAGCCUGUCCCACGGCAAUCCACUUCGGCGCCCAAUCCGCAACGGCGAAUAUGAAUCGUGAUGGCUAUCUCCGGAGUGCCGGCUUGUAGGGAGCGACCUCACAAGCAUGUGCGAAUGAGCACAAUGGCAAGUAAUCAAACGAUCUGUCGUAAGUACCAAGUCCUCAUGUCUAAUAACAUGGAAUGUGUCAAGUAUCUCAAUGGCCUAUCCCUAUGUCAUCAUGUCUCUAACAUGGAAUAUAGCAGAUGUGGAGUGGCCUAUCAAUAUGUCUCUAUGUUGCAGUUUCAUAGUUUACUAGUCUCAAGUGCCCUUGAUGACACUCUUGUUCUCUAUGUCAAAGCAUGGCAACUAUGUUCCAAAGUACAUAUUCCAAGUCAUAAUCCUCAUAAGAGAUGUAUUUUUCACUUGCAAAAUAAACACUUUUCCUAUAUGCAUCCAUUCUACUCAUAUAGCUCUACUAUAUAGUGAAAUUUUCAUGAUACACAAGGCAUGCAUUUUAAGUGUCCCAAAAUUCAUAUAAAUCCCAUUUAGCAUAGAAGUGAAUUUAAAAAUAUUUUCAACAAAUAGAAAGAGCAUAGGGGCCAUUUCGCCCCAUUUUCCGAAGCCAAACCCACCGAUGACGACGAAACUCCUCGUUCGCUCCAACGAGGGUGUCCUCUAGUCUCCUAGUACCUAAAGGUGUGAGAACAUGUGUCAUCUAGUCGAAACGAACGACGCUAAGUUCAAUCUUUAAGCUAUUCAAGCAUAGGUGGAGGAAAACUGACCUCUAGUGCAAAAUCUCCUCUAAAGCUCCGAAAGAGAGCUAGAGUCCAUCCAAUCCCACAUAAUGGAAGCCUCUAAACCAUCAAUCUAGCUUCAAAAGCCCUAGAUUCAAAUACCCAAAAUAAACCUAAUAUCACAAUCUAGGGUUUCAUCUCAAAUCCAACGGUAAAACUUCAAUUUAGAGGAAAAGGAUGAGCUACUAACCUUUUAGAAGCUUCAAACAAGAUUCAAAAUCCUCAAAGUGUGGAGAUCUCCCUCUCCCCAAGCUCCAAGGUCAAGCUCCCAUGGAGGAAAAGCUUCCAACAAGCAAAAAGAGCAAAAAGAGGGUUUAAUCCUCCAAAAUCCAAGAGAAUGGGAUCAAAUCCAAGGGGGAAGGAGAAGAGGGGUGCCCUACCUUGCCCUCUCUGUGAUCUGAGCUUAUGAGAAGCCCUAAGGGGCGUGGGGUACUAAUAGAGAGGCUACAAAAGCAAAAACACCCCUGCAGUUCAAACUGCACGAAAUCUGCCUCCUUGUACCGGUACACGGGCUCUUGUACCGGUACAAGGCCCACGAAAAUGCAAACCCGAGGCUCGGGUCGCGGGGUCUGCGGCUCUGUACCGGUACAAGCCCGAUGGCUGUACCGGUACAACCAUCAAUCCUUGUACCUGUACAAGACCAACCUUGUUCCGGUACAAGCUCUGCUGCAGGCUAACCCGAGAGCUGUCCAAUGAAUCCAAUUUUUGGAUUUUGGUACCAAGCUUACAAACACAAUUCUCGGGACUCAAACCAUAGGUUGGAACACUGUCAACGACCCACCAGAAAGUCUGGAAAAGCUCGACACACAAAUCAAACACUUGAACCUCGCAAUUUGCAAAGGUCCAGUGUGUUACAGAGGCACUCUAUGGGCGUAAGUGUCGCUCUCCUAUCCAUUGGAGCGAAGUGGGUGAAAGAGUCGCCCUUGGUCCGGAUGUGGUGCGAGAGGCGGAAGAGAAAGUCCGUUUUGCUCGCCAAUGAUUGAUGACGGCACAAUCGCGACAAUGAAGCUAUGCGAAUAAGCGCCGAAAGGAUUUGGAAUUCGCGGUUGGCGACCGUGUGUUUCUCAAAGUGUCGCCAAUGCAUGGGGUGAAGCGGUUUGGCAUUCAUGGGAAGCUUAGUCCACGAUAUAUCGGGCCCUACGAAAUUCUAGACGAAUUGGGCCGGUGGCGUACAAGUUGGCAUUACCGCCGAAGCUUGCGGGAGUGCAUAAUGUAUUCCACGUUUCGAAUCUUCGCAAGUAUUUUCGGAACUCCUCACAUGUGUUGUAGUAUGAACCGGUGGAGUUGCAUGAGGAUGUCACCUAUGAGGAAUUCCCGGUGAGCAUUCUUGCUCGAGAGGAGCGGAAGCUACGGAAUUGGACUAUUCCGUAUGUAAAAGUGCAAUGGAGUAAUCACUCGAGGCGUGAAUCCACGUGGGAACUAGAGGAGAAGAUGCGCGAAGUCUAUCCUCACUUGUUUGAACAAGUGGACUACGGUACGUGUUUAAGUUUCGCGGCUGAAGCUAUUUUUAUGGGGUGGGGAAUGUAACAUAUCACUUUCCCGUAAAUCAUGCCGAGUUCCGUCGAAAUGUGCGGAAUGCGGAGUGGAACAAGUUGGUAUAGGUUCUAAGUGCGUUGGAACCUAUAUAUAUAGUAAAGGGACCCGAGAGAGUGAAAGUUGCAAUUCUGGCUAAGUUCCAGAAUUUUGGACUCUCGGGGACCGGUCCCUGCGGGGAGAGACCGAUCCCCGUAUCCGUAGCCUACCUAGAAAGCUGGAAAAGCGGCUAAGUCUUGGAAGACCAGGCUACGGGAACCUGUCCCUACGGGGAGAGACCGGUCCCCGUAGGUGAAAAAGUUGGGAAAUGGCUAAGUCAGGAAAUAUUGCUCUGGGGAACCGGUCCCUGCAGAGAGAGACCGGUCCCCGUGCGUGCAGUCAGCCCGAAAAGAGUGGAAAUUUGGCUAAGUCCUGUUAGGUGUACUCUCGGGGACCGGUCCCUGUGGGGAGAGACCAGUCCCCGUAUGCGAAAAUCGCCCAGUUGAGCUGAAGUGAAAAAUGGAUAGUUGAGGGGUUUAAAUGCAAAAGUGGCAUGUAACACACUGGACUUUCGCAAAUGGCAAGGUUCGAGUGUUUGAUUUGUGUUUCGAGUUUUUUUAGAUAUUCUGGAGGGUCGUCGACAUUGUUCCGACCUAUGGCUCGUAUCCCGAGAUUUGUGGUUUAAAACUUUGCACCAAAACCCAAAAAGUUAGAUUAUUGGUGUGCUCUCGGGUAGCCUUCAGCAGGCUGUGUACCGGUACAGGGUUGAUGGCUGUACCGGUACGGGGUGAUGGCUGUACCGGUACGCGGGGCCGUGUACCGGUACACAGGCAGCUUCUCAGCCAACCCGAGGCUCGGGUUUGGCAUUUUCAUGGGAUGUGUACCGGUACGCGACCCCGUGUACUAGUACGUAGUGCAGUCAGCAGACUGCUUGAACUGCAGGGGUGUUUUUGCGAUUGUAGCUUCUCUAUAUUAGUACCCCACGCCCCCUGGUGUUCCUUGAGCUUGGAACCAGUGGAGAGGAAGGUAAGGGACCUCUCUAUUCUCCCUCUUUGAUUUCCUUUGUUUUUAUUGGGAUUUUUCGAGGUUUAAUCCUCUCUUUUUGCUCUUUUGUGCUACUUGGUGCUAUUUCAACCAUGGGAGAAAGCUUGAGGCUUGGAGUUGAGCUUGUUGAAGGAGAGAUCUUCAACCCUAGUUGACUUCUAGCCUAGUUGGGAGCUUCUAUAAAGGUUAAUAACAUGUUUCUCUCAUUAGAUUCAUAUUUUACUUGAUUUUCGUUUAGAAACCCUAGAAAUGAGAAUUUGGGGAUUUUUGAUCUAGGACUUUUGGAGCUCAAUUGAUCGGUUUAGAACCUUCCUCUAGGUUAGAGUGGAAGGGUUCUAGCCCCCAUUUGGAGCUCGGGAAGCGUUUGCUUCACUAUAGGUGAGUUUUGCCCUUAUCUUGAGUUUGUUAUUGUUUUAGCUUGUUGUAGUUCGUUUUGUUCGUGUAACUCCCCUAGUUUUACCUAUAGGGAGCUAGGAGGUUAGUAGGCACCUCCCUUCGGCGAAACGAUGGGCUUCGAGGAGACUUGAUGGGUUUGGCCUCACCAAAAUGGGAUAAAUCAUCCCUAUAAUGGUUUUUACUUUUUGUAAAAUGAGAAUGCAUACAUAUUCUUACUAGAUAGAAUAUUGAAGAAUUUUAGAAUGCUUAAUAUGUGCAUGUUAUGUAUAAAGUAUAUUGGACCUCUAUGUAGUAGAGAACUGUUCAUAUUUGGAACCUUGCAUAUGGUUAGCAUUCUUACAUUUGAUUGAGAUCAUGUUGCAUGUAGUGCAAAUGACAUGUAGAUUACACUCUUGGACUUAGAACGCAUGCUUGGCAUGGUUGGACAUGUGGUCAUUGAGUGACAUAGGUUAGAGUGUAUGUAAAUUGUAAGCUAAUGUCAUAAAGCGGCAUUAGGCUUGGACUAGAGAUGGAUUUAGUAAGCUAAUGUCAUAAAGCGGCAUUAAUCUUGGAAUGGUUUUGGACAUAGUGAAAUGAUGCCAUAAAGAGGCAUCGGACAUAGUGAACUUAGUAAACCUUCACUUGAGGCACAGACUAGACCUAUGGGUUGCUAGUGAGUAUUUCCACGUUUUAGACAUGAUGACAUAGUGACAGGCCACUGAGACACAUGCUACAUUCCAUGUUUUAGAUAUGAUGAUAGGCCAUCGAAAAUCUACUAUAUUCCGUAUUUUAGACACGAUGACAUAGAGAUAGGCCAUUGGGACAAUUACUAUAUUCCGUAUGUUAGACACAAUGACAUAGAGGCAGGCCUUUGGGACAUGUGCUGUAUUCCGGGUUUUAGAUCCGAUGAAACAGUGAUGAACCAAUGGGACCUGAGACGGACUUAUUCGCUUGCAUGCCAUUGUGCUCAUUCGCACAUACUUGUGAGGGUCGCUCCCUACAAGUUGGCACUCCGGAGAUAGCCAUCGCAACACACUCCCUACAAGUCGGCACUCCGGAGAUAGCCAUCGCGACACAUGCUCGCUCGUGCGGGAUUGGGUGCCGAAGUGGGAUGCCGUAGGGGAGGCUCAUUCCUAGAAUGGGGAUGUUGACUACCAUGGGGCCAUUAGGCACGGCGCAGGCCAGACAGCCUACGGGUGGGUCUUCAGUCCAGACAGCCUACGGGCGGGUCUUACAAGAUUGGAACUUUAAAGUAGACACAUUGACUAGAACAGUAAACAAUAAGUGAUAAACACUACUUGAUUGUAUAUCGUAGUUGGAUUCAGUUUACAUUGAGAAUAGUGGUACCCUUAAUUGCCACUAACAUACUAGAUAGUAUACUUCAUAGUAUUACCUGUUGCAUCAUAGUAUACUUGGUAGCCAUGAUAGAACAUAAUUACUAUGCAUUGGCACAUUUGGAUCAUAUAGAGUAGAGUACUCCAUGAUGAUAUCCCGAUUAUUUAUGGCAUAGUAGAAUAGCAUUUUACUAUAUGCUUUAUUUACCGCAGUUAAUUUCUGUUAUCCAUUUCUGCUUUCGAUUUGGGCCUAGUGGUGCAUUUUGCUAAGGUCAGUAAUUGCCCACUGCGAACUAUAAAUUAUAGUUCUCACGCCCCCUGUUUUAUGUUUUCUUUCAGAGCCUUCCACUCCGGGAGAGGCUCGGGAUCGCGGGACAGGUUUCGCCUCGAGUUAGCUAUCGAGGGACUUGGUGAUAGGUGGUCCACUUCUCUUUUGUUUUCUUUUGGAGAGGUUGUGAGAGUUUUGUACCUGGUUAUAGAGACCACCCUGUUUUUGUAUCUUGAGAUUUGUGAUGUAUUAAUUUGCUUUAUGCUUUAGUGGUUCAAUUCUCUUUUUGACUCUACUUGUUGUUAGAACCUAGCUGUGUAUUUGCUCUGAUAUCUCUAGAUACUUUCAACUUCUUGUUCAUUCAUUCGUUUUGUUGUAGACGCCUUAUAUGUGCAGGCAUAUGGCGGGUCUGGGCACGCACCGGGCGGACCUACGCCGGGUCCUGGGGCGUGACAUGGCAUGUGUUGGGUAUAUGUGUGAGAGGGAUGAGUGUUAGGGCUCAUUCUCUCCCACACCAACAAAACAUAUCCCCCCCCCUCUCUCUCUAAAAACCCUUCUCCUCUCUCUUCCUCUCUCUCUAGGGCUUAGACCAAAGUGGGAUUUGGAGGACAUGGGUGGAGAAGAAGAACAAGUUGAAGGUGUAGCUUGCAAGAGUGCAAGAGUUUGAGGCAAAGCUUGGACUCCAAGGUGAGUUUCCAUGAUAUUGAGUUAGGGUUUUGGUUUGUUUCCUUCUAGCUUGCUUCUAGGAGAUGAUUAGAGGAUUUCCCCCAUGUUUCUCAUGUGUAAGGACUUAGUUGGGAAAGAUGAUAUUGUACAAGGACCUAUACUUGGGGCUUUUGGAUUUUGAGAUCGAAGCUUGGGUUUGAUCUCAUUUUAACCUAAUUGGUAGGUCAACGAACCCGUUGGUGCACUCAGUUCGGCGAUACGACGAGCGUGCACGAAGAAAUUGAGGAAACACGUUAAAUUGGUAUAGAUUGCCAUAGCUUGCGGCGAAGGCGUCUAAAAAUCACGAAAAUAGGACCACGGCAUCCUAGCAUCACCAAAAGGUGGGGGGUGCUGUCCGAAAACACCGGAUCUCUUUCUAUGUCUAUGUCACUUCCUUUGAGCAUAUUGAUGUAGGGUAGCUUACUAUGUGUUCUUGGUUGAAUUGCAUUUAUAUGCUUAAAGAAUAUGUGAAAUGAUAAAGAACCAUGUGAACCAUGUGUGAAAGAACCCUAUGUGUAUGUGAAUGUGAGAAUGGACUAUGACAAUAGUAAACAAAGGUGACAUUGACAUUAGUGACCAGAUUGGCACCGAGAAUGUAAAUGACUAAACAAAGUUUAGUUUAUUAUUGGCAUCAGGACCACUGUGGUUUUGUGUAUUGAGACAGGUUUGGCAAGACUUCCUCAAAUUGAGGAUUGGAUCGUACUCACACUAGCUAUGGCUUGAGGACGGUAGCUCCUCCUCAAGUGGUGUACUCCGGAGUGUAGACACCACGGGGAGAGGCCUCGUCAUUUGUUCCCUCGGGUGGUAGUGCUAGUAGCAUCCCCCGGUAGAUGGGAAUUGUGGUUUGUGAGAUUCGGGGUGAACCAGGAGUACCUCGGAUGAUUGGGUAAAGGCCAAUAGAAAAGAAAAUGAACGACAAAGGACAUACAUGCAUAAUUAUCAUGUAUUGGUAUAUCUAUCUAUCUGUGGAUUGUUUUUGUGCAGGCAUUGUAAUAGUUUUGCAUUAGCUGGUUUGCAAUCUAUUGUUUCUUGAAUUACAUAUGCCUGAAAUAGACCUAGUAGGCGAAUCGGCGCGGUCGGUGGCCGAACCCACUGGGAACUUCUUCUAGUUCUCAUUACCACUAACCCUGCAGAUCCGUGGGCGAGCGGGGCGGCGGAGGAUCGAGGCAAGGGUAUUGCACCGUAGCUAGCGGCCUCGGAGUAUAGGCAUACCCUAUAUUUUGAGUAUUCAAUAUUUGUAUGUUGAACUAGUAAUGUAAAAUGAUGUAAACCUUAUACUUUGGGAUAAAAAAGCCAAUGUGAUGUAAAUGAAUGGAUAAAAUGAAUGUAAAUGUAAUAGUUUACUUGUGUUUGAUUCAAAGGAAAUCAAAUGACUUGUAUGUUGAAUGUUUAGUUAGUAUCGAUGCUUUCACGUGUUUGUUGUUGUUUGCCCUCGUGCAAACCUUGUAUAUCUUGCAAUCUCUUUGUUGACUUGCUUGUAAUAUACAUGUUGUUUCAGCCUUGGGCGGACAGGGGAGGUGCUGUCCGUUCGGCGUCUGUUCGCGUGCCCGAACCGUCCAAAUUGGCGGCCCCCGGGGCGUGACAAAGAUGGCACCUUUCGAGGCACUCUAUGGACGGAAGUGUAGAUCUACUUCAUUGGAGUGAAGUUGGCGAGAGAUUGGCUUUAGGCCUCGAUGUGCUCCAGGAAGCAGAGGAUAAGGUUCGUAUUGCUCGGGAGCGACUGUUGACAGCCCAGAGUAGGCAAAAGAGUUAUGCUGAUAAGCGUCGACGAGACUUGGAAUUUCAGAUUGGAGAUCAUGUCUUCUUGAAGGUUUCGCCGACCAAGGGAAUUAGAAGAUUUGGGAUUCGGGGUAAGUUGAGCCCCCGAUUCACUGAACCGUAUUAGAUUUUGAAGCGUGUAGGCCCGGUGGCGUAUCGACUUGGUCUACCGCCAAACCUAUCGGGUGUACACAAUAUAUUUCAUGUAUCGGUCCUUCGAAAAUACAUCUAUGAUCCGGCUCAUGUUUUGGAUGCUAUACUAUUGGAGCUGAGGGAUGAUUUGAGCUCUGAAGAGCAACCUUUGAGGAUUUUGGCUCGCGAGGUGAAGAGGCUGCGGAACCAUGAGAUUCCCUAUGUGAAGGUGCUUUGAAGCAACCACGAUGCACGUGAGGCCACGUGGGAGCUGGAGAGUGCGCUGGUGGAGUGCUAUUCCUAUCUUUUUCAGAUGGAGGCUUGAGAUACUUUGCUUUUUGAGUUUCGCGGACGAAACUCCUUUUUAGGAAGGGUGAAUGUAACACACUGGACCUUUCCAAAUUGCGAGGUUUGAGUAUUUGAUCUGUGUUCUGAGUUUUUCCAGAUAUUCUAGAGGGUUGUUUACAGUGUUCCGACCUAUGGCUCGUAUCGCGAGAAUUGAGGUAUUUAAAGUAGCGCUAAGGUCACCAAAGAGGAAGACUUAGGCCGCUCUCGGGUUGCUCUCUGCAAGAUUGUGUACCGGUACACCUUGAUGGUGUACCGGUACAAAAAGUGUAUCGGUGACAACUCGAUGGUUGUACCGGUACAGAUGUGGUUUAUGGCCAACACGAGCCUCGGGUAUGCGCAUUCAUGGGAUUUGUACCGGUACACUUUCCCGUGUACCGGUACACUUUGGCAGACUGCAAAAUAGCAGCUUUGAGGGGUGUUUUUGCUAUUGUAGCAACUCUAUAUUAGCCCCUACGCCCCCCUAGGGUUCUCUUGAGCUGAGAACUCACAGAAUUCAAGGUGAGUGAGCUUUUUUCUCCCCUCCUUGGAUUUGAUCUCCAUUUUGCUUGGUUUUAGAUGGAUUAAUCCCCUCUUUUGCCUUUUAGAGCAAUUUCCACCUUGGGAAAAGCUUGGACUUUAUGUUUGGAGCUUGAUUGAAAGGAGAUCUUCAACCUUAGUUGAUUUCUAGCCUUGAUUGAAGCUUCUAAGAGGUAAGCAACUUGUUCUCUCCUCUAGAUUUCAAGAUUUGGUCGUGUAUUUGAGAUGAAGCCCUAGAAUGGAAACUUAGGGUUGAUUUUGGGCAUUUUGGAUUUAGGGCCUUUGGAGCUUGAUCUCUUGGAUUAGAACCUUCCUCUAGGUUAGAUUGGAAGGGUUCUAGCUUCCGUUUGGGAUCCGAGAGAGUUUAUCACCAUCUUAGGUGAAUUUUUGCCCCUUUUCUUGAGACAGUUAAUGAUUGAGCUUAGGAUUGUUCGUAACGUUCAAUUAUUUCUUCUCUUGUUACCUUUAGGGUGCUAGGAGAAUAGUGGGCAACUCCGUUCGGCGAAACGAAGGAGUUUUAGCGGAGCUCGGUGGGUUUGACCUCACCAAAGAAUGAGAAAAUCUCAUUUUUGUUGAUUUAAGUAUCGUAAAAUGGAAAAUCAUGCAUUUUCAUGUUAGAUGCAUUAUUUAUGAAUUUUAGAAUGCUUAAAAUGCUUAUGUUGUAUACAAUGCAUUUUUGGACCUCUAUAUAGUAGAGAGCUUGCAUGUGAGACUUAUGCAUGAGUUUAGCAUUCGCAUUCGGGACUUAGAAUCAUGUUUCGUAUAGUGAAAAUGACAAUGUUAUAUGCCCUUGGACAUAUGAGAAUACAUUAGGCCAUGAAGUGGCUUGGGACUUGGAUAUCAUGUGAAUUAGUGAGCUAAUGUCAUAAAGUGACAUUGAGCUUGAUUUAUAUAUGAACCUAGUAAAUAAUGUCAUAAAGAGGCAUUAGACUAGAGUAAUAUGUAAAUUAGGGAGCUAAUGUCAUAAAGAGACAUUAGGCUCAGAAUUGGUAUAGUAAGCUAAUAUCACAAAGUGGCAUUGGGCUUGGACUAGAUAUGAACUUAGCAAGCUCAUGUCAUAAAGGGGCAUUAGGCUUGGAAUAUGCGCUGACUUAGUAAACCGAAUGUCAUGAAGUGGCAUUAGUGUUGGAACAAGAUUUGGGCGUAGUGAGAUAUAAUGCCAUAAAUAGGCAUUGGACAUAAUAAAUGGUUAAACCUUCACUUGGGAUAUUGGACUAGACCUAUGGGUUGCUAGCGAUCAUUUCCAUGGUUGAGCCAUGAUGACCGGAUCGUUGUGACGAUGACUAUGCUUGCUUGCCAUUUGUGCUCAUUCGCACAUACUUGUGAGGGUCGCUUCCUACAAGCCGGCACUCUGGAGUUGGCCUACGCGACCUAUCCUCGCUCGUGCGGUAUCGAGAAACCUACAAGGUCGGGAGGGAUAGACUCAUUCCUAGAGUGGGAAUAUUGGAGCUACCAUCGACACUUAGGUGGCACAAGCUGGACCACACUUGUGCAGGUCCCCAAAACAAGAUUGAACAAUGACAUCGAUUCAUAAAUGAUAAUCACUACUAAAUAGGAUGUAGUAGUUGGAUUACCUUGUCAUGCAAUAGCAUAACUGUGAACAUUUGAGACAUAUAGUAUACUUGGUAAUAUCGCUCAUUGCGUUAUAGUAUACUUGCUUGCCAUGUGGGAUCAUACUAUAUAUGGGUUGGACAUGCUUGAUCACGAUAGAAUGAAUGUACAAUAUAUUGUCAUCAUAUUACUUAUGGCAUAGUAGUUUAGCAUUCAAUACAUGCUUUCAUAUCUGCAGUUUAUUUUCAGUUGUUUAUCAUAUCUACCUUACUCGUUUGGGCCUAGUGGAGCAUUAUGCUAAGGUCAGUAAUUGCCCACUGGAAACUAUAAAUUAUAGUUCUCACGCUCCCUGUUUCUUGUUUUCUUUCAGAGCCUUCCAUACCGGGUGAGGCUAGGGACCGCGGAAAGGGUAUCGCCUCGAGCUAGCUUGCGGGCGAGGGACUUAUCGAUAGGUGGUCUACCUCUCAUCGGUUUUAUUUUGGAGAGGUUGAGAGUUGUACCUGUGCAUAAAGACCACCCUUUUUGUAUCUUGAGACAGAUGAUGUUUUUACUUUAUAUUUUAUAUUAGUUGAUAGUUUCCUUUCUCUCUGCUUGUUGUUAGAAUUUAGCUGUUGUUUGCUCUGAUAUCUCUAGUUGUCUUCCUUCUACUUGCUUUCGUAUCUCUAUUGUGGUAGACGCCUUAUAUGUGCAGACAUAUGGCGGGUCUGGGCACGCACCGGGCGGGCCUAUACCGGGUCCAGGGGCGUGAUAUUGAUCAACUUCUACUUGACCCAAGGUAUUUUACACUUUUUGCAUGUGUAAUUUUCGAAGAUUUUCGAAGUAGUUAUUUGGAAGCUUUUAACCCUUUAGAAUUCUUCUUAGAGUGCUAGAAACUCAGUGGACAACUUCGUUCGAAGGAACGAAAGUGUUUGAAUGUGAUCCGAUAGGUUUGAUCUCACCGAAAUGGGUGAACUCCCCCCUAUAUCUCCUAUGAUGUUAUAAGGCUUAAUUGUUGCAUAAUCAUGAUGUUUAUGCCAUGAUAGAAUUUUAGGGUGCUUGAGAAAUACAUGUUAUGUAUAACCUGUUGUAUGCUCUAUGUAGUAGAGAACAAUAGAUGAAAUCAUGCAUGUUGUACCUAUGAAGUUAUAGCACGAUGACAUGUUCUUUUUAUUGCAUUGUAGAAAUGCAUAAUAGAGAUGAAUUCUAGGUCAUUUGAGACUCUAGAGGGAUAAUGGAACUAGUGGACUUUGCAACUAGUUUACUUGCUAGAUAAUGAUGAGCAUGAUGUAUUACAUGUUAACCAUUUGAUGUAGAGCCAUGAAUGUUGUACUUAGUUUGAUGAACAACUAAGUUAACCGGGUAACUUUAUAUUGACCCUUGAGUUGAUAAAUGUGAUUCCGUGUUUUGCACACGAUGAUUGAUGUAGUUCGAAUACUUGACAUCCAUAUGACAUGUAGAGGGUUGAUACACUCUCGGUAGUAAAGCACAUAGUAGUACAUGUUGCAUGAGUAAAGAAGCCAUUCAUUUGCAUAAUAAUGUUGUACCCUAUAUAGAGGAGGCUCAAAUAGUGAGGUAUACAUAUACGCUUGUAAACACUAUGGUUUACCCAUCCUAUGAGUUGAUAGAUGAAACCUUAUGCUAUAGGCAUGUAGGAGAUUCAUGUGUUGAAAUAUGCAAUUGUCACGCCCCGGGGCCCAGCGGAAGCCCGCCCGGCGCGUGCCCAGACCCGCCAUAUGUCUACAACAUAUAAGGCGUCUAAAAACAACAAUAAUAAAAGCAAUAAUAAAAGACAUCUAGGAGUAUCAGAGCAUAGUAAAUGUCUAAUUGCUACAACAAGGGAUAAGGAUAAAACUGUAAAUCCACUAAAUGAAACAUAGAGUAAGAACAAUAGGAAAUCCCAAAUACAAGAGUUAAAAGUAGGUACAUAGGUGGUCUCUAUACAUGGAUACAAAAUCUCUCACUCUCUCUCAACUACAAAAAGAAAGAGUAAACCACCUAGGCAAAGUACCGCUCCUCGCUAGCUAGCUAAGCGAUCCCCUUGCCGCGAUCCCGUGCCUCCGCCGGUGCCGAAGGCUCUGAAAAGUAAACCACAAAACGGGGGCAUGAGAACUAUUAAAAAUAGUUCCCAGUGGGCAAUUACUGACUUCAGUGAAUGCACCACAAGGCCCAAAGCUACAGAAGAUGUNNNNNNNNNNNNNNNNNNNNNNNNNUGAAUAUGUACAAACAUUCAUUAAACGGAAUUUCGGUUAUGCAAAUUGCGUCUGGCUGUACGUCCUUCCGCCGGAGCACGCCGAGACUGCCGUCGAGAUUUGGCAUUUCAUUCUCCUGGCUGCUAACUCGCUGGUAUCUGCACAACAAAGUCCACAAAUACGUUAUCACGCAAAAUCAAAUGAAAUCAAAAUUCGACUCGGACCAGUUAGUAGGAUCUAUCGACGGAUCAGUUAACUAACUUUAUCGAAUCCAGAAGUGUGAGGCCGCCGUCCGUCGUGGAAUGCCGACGGAGAGCCUCCCAUCCUUCUCUCCUUCUUCAGGUAUUUAUCAUGCCAGCUAGACCGAGAGUCUGUCGGCGGACGGGAUCUAUUAUUCAUGCCCCAAGAUGAGCUAUUCAGCUUGAGCUGUUCGAGCCGAAACAGAAGUUUGCGUCCCCGCGAAUGCCAGCUGUGAGAUGUCUGCACGCUGAAGAUUCAUUAGGCAGGUGAGGUCAGGAGUAUGAGGGUCGAUGAUCUGCUUUCUUCACUCCAUUUAAUUGAGAAAUUCUCUUUUCAGAAUGAUUUGUACUAAGAAACUAAUAAUAAUAAAAAAGGCAUAAGAGGACUAAGAUAACAAAUGGGACUAAGAAAUUUUUAGGUAGUAGAUGAAUUGUUAAAGUAGAGAGUAUUAUAAUCUGAAGCAAAUGCGGGGCGGAGAUGAACAAUGAACAUGCACUUUUUUUUUUAAUGUUUCCUAGUAAUAUAAUGAGAUUAAUGUAAAACAAAAAACUUUACCAAAUUAUUGGCUGAAAAAAAAAAAUGCAGAUAAAUGAUCAAGAACCCUUAUAUGUAGCUUCUGAAACAUCACAGACCACAAAUUUUUGCAAUAAUAAAAAACAGAAAAAAAAAACAACUAAUAAGUUAAAGGAAACAAUAGUAGCUGCUAAAGAUCCAACAUUUGAACUACCUAAUUACUCUCUCUCUCUCUUCUCUCUCUCUCUCUCAAACAGUUUUCUUUUUGUUGCUCUCUCAUUUGUAAACCCAAGAGGCUCCGAAAUAUAAGGAGUUUGUAUGGAUAUCCCUACAAAUUAUAAAAAUUACAUUAUUCUAAUAGAGAAACGCUUUUUCAUUUUUUGAUAGAACUGUAGAAAUAAUCUUAAUGGUACUAUUACGAUGUACGUAGCAUAGUAUGAGGUAUGAAAAAAACGAGAGUAUUUUUUUUUACAUCAGAGCAGAUGUCUCUCACACAUAGCGUUAAUUAUCUUUCUGCAAUCCAAUACGAUAGUUCGUUUAAGAAACCUUAGCCAAAGAAGGAAUACAAUUGCCAAUGUAGAUGGUAUGGUAAGAGUGAUGGUUCAUAACUUUUUUUGUUGAUGAGUAUGUAUUUAUUUAGAAUCUAUUGUCAUUUAAUUUAUGAACUGAGUUGCUAGCGUAAUGAUUAGCAAAAUAUUCUCAAGUUAAUUUGGAAGCUUAGCAUAGAUAAUGUGUAAGCUAAUUAUAAAUAAAGUGAAAGAAAAAUUCAAUGUGUUGUGUAAAAAAAAAAAUCAUUUGAAAAAGAGAAUUGCUAAAGAUCGGAUAGAGGUUUCUAGUUGAGUUGUAAAAUGAGAGUAACAACAAAAAAAAUAUAAAUAAGCGCACAAAUACAGAAGAAUACCCUUCAUUAAAUAUCAAUUUGCCAUGCCACAAUAAAUUCAAAAUUUUUUAGGGGUUACGGUCGUUAAUGAUAGAAUGGGUGAAAUGAUUAAAUUUGUCUUGACUUGCUCGUAUUAAAAAAUUUGUAACUAUAUUUAUGUAAUUUUCAAGGUAUCUGUUGUAUAAAUUUUACGAAAUAGAUGAAAAUAAUUAAAACCCGUAACAAAGGCAACGCGGCUAAAUGCGUGAUAGGGGUGCAAACGAGGCUGUAACACAGCCGAAUGUGCGGCCAUUGCUCUAUUAUAUUGAGCGCCGAAUUCAGCCGCUUUCGAAUAAUUUCGAGCCAGAUAAGCGGUUCGAAGUAUGUCGGUCGAAUCGAAUUGAGCUGAAAUUAUCGAUGCUGGCUAAAAUAAAUUUAUUUUUAUUUUUGUUUUUCGAAGCUAAUAUUCAUAGCAGUAUUUGUUCAAAUUCUGGCCUUAUGAUAUUGUUUAUUCCGAUCCGGCCCUCAUGUUAGCUUGAAUUCUUUGUUUAUUUAUGUUAUUUGUUUUUCAAUUCUAAAAUGUUAUGAAAUAUUUGUUAAUAUUAACUACUAUAAAUUUAACUACAAUUAGCCAUAUAAGUACAAUCGAAAUAUGAAAUAUCAAUCUCUAAAUUACAAGAAUCAUAAAUACAAAUAAUACAUACAAUCAACAUAUCUAUAUAAUCAACAUUAGGUGCUCAAAUUACAAUCAAUAGAUUUUUGUCUGAUAAUCAUUAUUCUUUAGAAUAAAAAUUUAUAUUUUAUUUUUAAUAAUAUAUAAUAUUAAUUAGAUAUCCUAUCUACUAAUACUAUAGUAUAGAGGUUGAGCCCGAUGAUAGAUUUUACAAGUAUCACAUCAUAGUGCUAUUAGUUUUUAAGCCAUGUGAAUCUACUUUUUGAAUUAUUAAUAAAGCAUCUUGCUAUUAUAACAGCUAUUACCACCUCACACCACAACCCUAGCCAACACAUUCUCAAAUCAAUUCUCUCCAUUCCAAGGAUGCCUAAAAGACACACAAGUAUCUCCCCGCAUGAUACUUUUACAAUUAUUUUCUAGCCCUUACUCUCUCUCUCUCUCUCUCUCUCUCUCUCUAUUAUAUAUAUAUAUAUAUAUAGAAACGGGAGGUGGGAUACUAUUAAUAGCCCACCAAAGCAAUUUCUGCUAUUAGUUUUUUAGAAUUGAGCAUUAAAAAAUCUCUUGGCGGAUUAGCGAUGAUUAUGGACCCCGAGGCUUGGGUGGAAUAUUGGUGGUCGCAGGUAGUGAUUAAAUAGAUAUAAUCUAACGGGUAAAAAUAAUUAAAGGAUUAAAUCUAACGGGUGGAAACUCGCAUAGCACAAAAUCCUUAAGUGUUAUCGAUAGACUAUCCAGCGGGUUAUAUAUAAUAUAUUAUAGGCAGAGAGAGACGAGAGGGAGAGGAGAGAGAGAGAGAGGGAGAGAGAGAGAGAGUUUGCUUAGAUACUAUCCGGCUAGUAAACGGCCGUUUAGUACUAAUUUGUUAUUACGAUGAUAGAGCUUCCAAAUUGUAUGAUCGGCCACACGUUAAAUAUGAUCUAAACUAUUUAAACUAUUCUGAAAAUCAAAUUUUCACAAUAUUUUCGAUAUGUUUCUCUUGUCCAUUAACGUGAAUCAGAAAAAUGAAUGGCUUGAAAUGAAUAUCCACUCAAAAAAGUGAUGAUACAAUUUUCUAAUAUUGAUAUCUGAGUCUAGAUCUUAUUUAAAUAGUGUUUAAAGAUUUUUUAACAAAAAUUUAGUUGAUUUGAAACUUCUCUGAUACAUUUAAAUGAGCAACGCACCAUUAUUCUGCCAUUAAAAUUAUAUUUUUUGUACCCUCUUGACUCGUCAGUUAAUGAUGCCAAAAAAAUUAUGUAAAUUUGAUUUCUAGAUAAUUUAAAUGGUCUAGAUCAUGCUCAACGGUGCGGAUCGUGAUUUGAAGAGCUUAUCAUCAAAAUAAAUCGUUAGCUAAAGCUAGAGCAGUUUAGCUACCGAUGUUAGCCCAGUCAACUCUAUAGUAUAUAAUAUAUAUAUAUAUAUAGUUUAAAUGCUUUACAGUAUACAACUAAAACAAUACAAGUAAAGAUAAUUACAAGAAUAAUUACAGCAUAUCUAAAAAUUAUCAUUUAUCUGACAUAAAAAUAAAGUUACAAGCAAGGUUCUAUUAAAUAUACCUAUAAGUUUAGGGGGCAUCUUCAUUCUCCUACAUUUCCACCAAAUAAUUAAUUAGCACAUUAAAAGUAUUAAAAAGGGAAAUAUAAACUUACAUUACUUAAACCCCACAAUAAUCACAUGGAUGUGCUCAUUAAUUUAUAGCGAACUUACACCAGUUACUACAUAAUAAAAGAGAAAAGUAGAUUUUAUAUAUAUCAGUGGCAUAAUGGCUAUAUUUCCUAAUAUAUUUCCUAAUAUUGUGCCCCACUCAAAGUGAUUUUGAAUAGCCUCACACAUGCAUAAGGAAUAAUUGGCGAACAUUGUCAAACCUACCCUUAUAUUACAAAUAUUAUAUGCAUCCCUAAAAAAUUACCAAAUAUCAUUUACUACUAUUAAAUUGAUGAAAUUAUGUGGGACUCAUGCAGUUAUUCUAUAGCUUUUUGUAACUAUAGGAUAAAUAUAUUUCUCAUCCAAAAGUAGCACUAUAUAUUUAACCUUUUUCACUUUUCAGCUAGAAAUUAGAUUUAAUUUAACAGAAAAUAUAUAAUUUUUUCUUUGUAAAUAUUGUUUUUCACUUGCUUCCCAACGUUCAAAAAUCUAUAUUUUAUCCUUCAAAUUAAUUCCCGAUUUAGUUACAAGGUCUAGCUACUCGCAAGUUGCUCCGUGUUCGAUUGAAUAAAACUUCGAAAAUGAGUAUCGUUCAGAAUUAAUUUCAAAUAAAAGAGCUGGAUUUUUUUCUCCGAAAAAAUUUUAAACAAGUCACGGAGCAGGCCUCUGCUCAUCCUGUUCCACUCGAAAUAGUUAUCUUAUAUAUAUUAUAUAAUAUAUAUAUAUAUAUAGAACUGGCUGGAAUACUAUUAAUAACACCAAUGACUUGGGUGCUAUUAAGUUUUCUGUCCUUGGAUUAAAAAAGAGGUGCGCGUUUAAGAUGAUAUGGGCUCUUAGGAGAUGAGUGGACCGUGUUGGUGAAUAGUAUAUCGAAUGGAUUGAAAUGAUAAAAAGAAGUGUGAAUCUAACAAGUUUUCUGCCUUAGGAUGAAUAUGACUAUUUAUAUUAUAUAUAUAUAUAAUAAUAUAUAUAUAUAUUAUAUUAUUAUAUAUAUUAUAUAUAUAUAUUCGUGCUGGAUACUACGGAUAGCCACGAAGCAUUUGGUGCCACUAUAAUUUUCUGCCGUUAGAUUUACCUUUUUCGUCAAUUUUCAUCAUUUGAUUUACUAUUCCAACCAACAACCCACUCAACCCUAGGUGGGCUCACAGCAUCCUAACGCCACAUUUCUCAUCCAAGGAAAAAAUACGGUGGAAUACUAUUGAUAGCCAAGGGUCUGGUGCUAUUUAGUUUUAGUCCUUGGGAUUAAGAAAUCGCUGCGAGUCUAGGAGAAUGUGGCCUAGCGAUUGAGUGGUGGUUGGUGAAUAGUAUAAUCAACGGUCAUGAAUAUGAUAAAAAGGUAAAUCAACUGGCCAGAAACUAUAUAGCACCAAAUGUUUCGCUGCUAUCGAUAGUAUCUGCUGCGAGACUCUCUCUCUCUCUCUCUCCUCCUCUCUCGCUCUCUCUCGUCUCUCUGUCUAUAUAUAUAUAUGUAUAUAUUAUCUUAUUAUAUAGAGAGAGAGGAGAGAGAGAGAGAGAGCGAAGAUGAGAGAGAGAGAGAACUAGGACCUGGCAAUACUAUCAUAGCACUAGUAUGUGCUCAUUAGUUUUUAGCCCUUGGAUAUGAGAAUGUUCAGUUAGGAUGUUGGUCUUAGGUUGAUGGUGGUUCGUGAAUAGUAUAAUCUAACGGGUAAAAAUAUUAAAGAUUAAAUUCUAACGAAAUCAGAUAGCACCAAGAUAGUUACGGGAUCUCUCUCUCUUCUCUCUCUCUCUACUCUUAUUAAUUAUUAUAUAUAUUAUAACAGGGCUACUGUGUAUUGGAGAUAACAGUCGUUUGCUCCUAACUUCCAACCACCAUCAUUUUGUGGUAUUAGGAUAAAGAGCAGAGAGGAGAAAUUCCGGAGAAAAUUAAACAGAGAACGAGAAAUUGAUAACCUAAUUUCUCCUCAAAUUUCUUUUUCUCUAAUCAUACCUUUCAUCCAAAACUAAUUGAAUGGUUAGGAAAUUUAAGAGACAGAGUUAGCCCUCCUCUCUCUCUCUUCUCUUUCUCCUCUCUCUCUCUCUCCUCUUCUAUAAUAUAUAUAUAUAUAUCCUAUCAUUUAUUUCCGGGAUCAGGGUUCGGAGUCUGAAUAUUAACCUAAUUGCAUCCUCAAUUUCUCUUUCUCUCUCUCAUCCUAACUUUCAUCAAACUAAAUGGAAAUGGUUAGGAAAUAAGAGCAUAAGAGCUAUAGCCUGCUCUUCUCUCUCUUCUCUCUCUCUCUCUCUCUCUCUCUAUAUAAUAUAUAAUAUUAACUAUAUAUAUAUAAUAUCCUACUCAUUUAUUCGGAUUCUGCGGUUCGGAUCUGUAAUAAUUUAAGUUGACUAACUAUACAAAUCGGGAUCUAUUCGAAAGGGUCUCGUAGUGAUAAUCCAUAUGCUAUCCACGAAAUCCUGAAUAGAUGGGUACGAGUCGGACUAAUGGAUACGAGUACCUGUAUUAACAUAUUUUUUAUAGACUAUUAAACACUCUAUUUGGACAAAUCAUAAAUCUCUCAAUUAGAAAAAACUUUCAUUCUAAUGAGACUGCACUCUAUCAGACGGAUCAGAGAGGCAAAAUGAGAGUAGUUAAAGAUUUGAUUUUUUUUUUUCUCUUUUUUUUUUUUUAUAACUCUUACUCUCUUAAUUCAGCAAGUAAAACAGGGACCGGCUUAGAGAAUAAGAUGUCAAUAGUAAACUAGAGCGGCUUAGGAUUAAUAAAAAUAAGGAGUAAAAAAAAGUUUUAAAAAAAAAGCAGUAACAUAGCGACUAGGUUUGACUGGACAAAUACAUAGAGACCCAUCAUCUAUAAGUCAUAUUGAAAUUGAUUCCAAGCUUAAAAUCUUUUUAUUGCGGUCAUCUCUACAAUUCAGAUCAAGCAUCCAGUCUGAAUCCGUAUUGAAAAUUAUUUCUUAAGACCCUAUCAUUAAAAAUGUCGGCGGUUCGGGUCGGACCCAAUGUCAGUAAUAGUACCAAAAGUAUCCGAAUCUACAUCACAAAACUGUAAUGCUUUUGCUUUUUAUCGAAUUACUAUCUAUUUUUUGUUUGAUCGGAUAGAAAAAAGUCCGGACUUAAAUAUAGUAUAUCGGCAUUUGGCACGUUAGGAGAAUAACUUAUACAUUUUACCAAACUUGCACUAAUUUGACACUCACCCUUAAUAUGUGGUUUAUUAGGGCUCUGAAUGCUUGAACAUGUUCUAUCAAAAAAAAAAUGCAAAAGGAUGUAAUUAAAAAUGAAAUCACACAGUACUAACUUGAUACCACUUUAAACUAUAAGGUACUAUAAAGAUGAAAAGUGCAACCACAAGUACGUAAACUAACACUUUAAACCACAUGUAUUAAAGUGGAAAAAAAUUGCGAAACAGAUUUUUUGAAGUUUUCCCUAAAUUUCAAUCUACAACACGGUUGUGAUUCAUAUUAUUAAAAUAUAUUCAAAUAUAAAAAGAGAUGAUAUGGAACAAUCUAAGGAAAAUAACAUUUUUUUUCAAUCUAUUUAUAUAAAUAAAUUGAUAAAUCGAAACUUAAAUUUAUAUUUUUGAUAUCAAAUUUGACCUAUACAUUAAAAAAUUUUAAAAUACAUGCAUCAAAAAUUAAAUAUUAAAAAUUUGAAAUAAAUAUCAAAUUAAAUUUUAAAUUCAUCAAAAAUUAAUUAAAAUAUUUAAAAAUAUUAAUUAUAAAAAAAAAUAAUAUAAAAUUUGUCAAAUAUUUCUAAUACAAAUAUAACAUAUAACUUUAUAAAGGUAUAAUUUUUUAUUAUAAUUUUAAAUAAUAUACUGUACAAAAUUUAUAUGAUUUAAACUAAAAUUAAAAUAACUUGUUACAUGCAUUUGUAUAUUAAUCAAUUAGUGUGGCUGUAAACCUAGUCUAAAUACUAUCAAAUAGUACAAAGCUAUCGGAGCAAUUAUGGUAUUCGGCCUUGAAGAUAAAAAUCUACGUGUGAGGCUGAUGUCGGCUCACCUAGGGUCGGAUGUAGUUAUUAGUUUAAUAAUAUAAUCUAACGAUGAAAGAUAGUUAAAAAGCUUAAAUUCUACAAGCGAAAACUUGAUAGCACCAAAUAAUUGGCUAUAUCUGCUAUUGAUAGUAUUCCAGCCUAGCUCUAUAUAUAUAUAUAUAUAUAUAUAUAUAUAUAUAUAUAUAUAUAUAUAUAUAUAUAUAACGUGAUUGAAUUGUUUAAUCCGAUCUGCUUAUUUUGGUAUUUUGUGUUUAUAAUUGAUCAGAAUAUAUAGAAUUAGGCUACUAUACUAUCUAUAGUACCGGAGCUCCGGUACUAUAGUCUUGUUUUCGAUCUUAGCGUGUUCAAAUUAACGAUCCACACCGUUAAAUAUGAUCUAGGGUAUAUGAAGUUCUUAGGAAUAAAAUUUUAGUUUUUUUCGACAUCGUUUACUUAGUAAAUAAAUUAUGUCAAAAUGGACGGUGGAAAUUGAAUAUUCUUUAAAAUUUGAGCAUAGAACUUUUAAAUUCAAGAUCAAGAAUGUUAACCUUAAUCUAGAUAGUUUAAAGUAUUUUCUACCAAAAUUUGAAGAAAUUUAGAUUCUUCUACGCUAUUAAACUCCAAACUCGCCAUAGUUUUCAUUGAAAAUUGCCAAUUUUGAAAUGAUUUGAUCAUAAAGUAAACUAUGUCGAAAAAAUAUAAAAUUUUAUUUCUAAAAACUUUAAGUACCCUAGAUCAGUUUUAACGGUGUGGAUCAUUGAUUCGAACACCCGAACAUCGAAAAUGGGACUAUAGUACCGGAGCCCUGGUACUAUAGAUAGUAUAGGAGACUAGCUCUAUAUAUAUAUAUAUAUGUUUGGCGUUAUAUUUGAAUUUGUAUUUUAAAACUUUAGAUUUAAUAUAAUAUAUUUUGAAAUAUCGUAAAUAGAAAUAAUUGUUUCAGAAUUCGAAUUUUGGAUUUUUGGUCAGAUUCGGGUUAUGGAUUUUUGGCCAGGUUCGGAUUUGGAUAUGCAAUUUUAAAAUCUAUUAGGAUUGGAUGGAUUCAGGUUCUUGUUUCGGAUUUAAUAGUCGAGUUGCUAUUCGGAGUGUUAAAAAUUCGUACUAUUCGAUCCGUGGACAUCUCUAAUCCAUACUAUCCUAUCAUAUGUGCUUCUAAAUAUAGGGCGUAUUUGGUUUGCUUCUUUUUCACCCUGGAAUCGAAAUCGGAAUGGGUGAAUCCGUUUGUGGGUGUUCGGUACAUGAGAGUCCCAUUCCGAUUCCGAUUCCCGAGUGGAAUGGGAAUCUUCCAAUCACCUCAUUUUUCAAUCCGGCCUAGGAGGCCAGAUUGGAAGUUGAAUCUGGCCGGAAUGGAUAUUUAUUCGGAUUAAAUUUAUUUUUUCAACUUUUUUAAUUAAAAUAUGAGUUAAAAUUUAAAAAUUAAAUAUAUAAUUUUAAAUUUUAAUUUGAACUUAAAUUAAAAAUUAAAUUUUAAUCAAGUAUUUCGAAUCUAAUUUAUGAGUUUGAAUUUAAAUUAAAUUUUAAUUUAUAUAAAGUUGUAUUCAAAAUUUAUUUCAAACUUAAAUUAAAUUUAUGGAUUCAAAUUAAAAUUUAAAUUGUAAUUUUAAGUUUGAAUUUGAAUAAAUUAAAAUUUAGUUUCAUAUUUUGAAUUAUCNCAACCAUCAACCCUUGUACCGGUACAAGGCCAGUCUUGUUCCGGUACAAACCCUGCUGCAGGCUACCCGAGAGCUGUCCAAAAAUUCCGAUUUUGGAAUUUUGGUGCCAAGUCCCACUCCAACAUCCUCGGGAUGCGUGCCAGGGGUCGGGACACAAUCAACGACCCUCCAAAAACUGUGGGAAAGCUCCAAACACAGAUCAAACACUCGAAUCUUGCGAUUUGCUAAGAUCCAGUGUAUUACAGCAAUUGACAUGUAAAUGACAAAGUACACACUUGAGUAGUUUAAUGAAAAUCAACUUUUGCAUUUUAGUGGAAAUAUUACACAUUGGCAUACGGGUGAAGCCCGUUAGGUUCUUGAAUGAGUCAUCGAACCUUUCCCAAUAGAACAAAUAAAACAUGGACAUUAGUGUGUUGAGUCAUGUGACACAUUGGUAGAGACAUACCAUUAAUUUAAAUUAUUUUUGGAACUUGACAUACAUGACAUUAGAAGAUUACCCUUUUUGCAUAGGGCAUUAUGGUGGUAGUAACACACAUUGGUAGGUUCAUGAAUGAGACAUAGAACCACCCUUAAUAGAGUGAAUGAAUGAAAUGUGGACCUUCAUGUGCUUUGGACAUGUGCUAUAACAUAAAAAAACAAUAAUGUCAUAAAGAGGCAUUAGACUUAGUGAAUGGUUAAACUUGUACACUUUGACAUAGAACUAGACCUUUGGGGUUGCUAGUACUUAUACCAUGUUGAGACAUGACAACCGUGUACUUAAGAUGACGAUCAUGCUUGUUUGCCAUUUGUGCUCAUUCGCACAUGCUUGUGAGGGUCGCUCUCCACAAGCCGGCACUCCGGAGUUGGCCUAUGCGACAGAUGCUCGCCGUGCGGUAUUCGAUGCCUACUGGAUCGACGUGGGACAGGCUCAUUCCUUGCGGGGGGAAUGUUGGACUACCACAGGCCAUUAGGCACGGCGCAAGCCGGACUACAUUUGUGCAGGUCCUGAUGACUUGAACUAUGUUAACCAAGAGUUAAUUAAACCUGACAUUAUGUUAGACAUGCUAGUGGAUGCACACCUAGUAAAUGGUCAUACUAGUGGUUGGUUACCUUAUGUUGAGAUUCGAUGCAUUCAUAGUAGAGAGAUAUACGUCGAACAGACGCCGACCGGACAGAACCUCUCCUGUCGGCCCAAGGCUAAACAACACAGUCAUGUACAUCAAGUUGCCCAGGUAAACUAAAACAAUAUACACGAAGCACGACAAGCGCUAUACAAGCGAGAGCAAGAAUCACAAGUAGAUAUACAAGUGAACCAAAGAGAAACAUCUAGCUAUUACAAUUCCAUUCAACAUAUACAUCAAGUUUACAAUUUUACAUCUCCAAAAUUUAUACAUGUCAUCCAUAACUCUCCAAAAUACAUAUACAAUAUGAUCUCAUAUCUAUACAGGGUGUACUAAUGCAUAAAGGAAAGUUGUCUAGCUACUAGGGCGCUAUGCCCUUACUGCGGUCCUCGCCCGGUCCUCUCGUACUCGGCCCUGCAACAAAGUGGGGUGAGAACUAUAUUAAUAUAGUUCCCAAUGGGUUCGGCCGCCGACUCUGCCGAUCUUCCCACUAGGUCUAAGCAGGCAUAAGUAGACAGAUAGAUAGAUAUGAAAAUGAGCUGCUACAUAAUAACAAAACCUACAAUAUGCUACUAUGCCUCGACAAGCAGAAUGAAUACAUGAACAUAGAUAUGCGCUCUACUAACAUGAAAACUAUGUCUCAAUCUGCAUACUCUACAAGAUAUAAAGGAAAUAUCUACAUAGUAAUGAAACAUACUGUCAAAUACUAUGUCUCAUGUCCAAUCUCAUCUCGGCUAACCAAAAGGUUACGCCCAAACUCACAUCUCAAAUCUCGCUGGUGAGUAGACUCUACGCUACAAACACCCGAGACCGCCUGCUGGGUAAUCGUGUUACCCAAACGCGACAUCUACUCCGGAGCUCACUACUUGGGGUGGAGCGACCACGCCAAUGUUACAUAGACUAUGUGAGUACGAUCCAAUCCUCUCACUCGAGGAUAGUUAGUGCCUCUUGCACUAGUUCACAUGCUACUACUCAGGAGAUCAGUAUCUAUCCUAAGUUCAUGUAUCAAGCUGUAAGUGUUUCACUACACUAGUCCAAAUGUCAAUUUUUUUGGUUUACAUGCCACUACUUAGGAGAUCAUUCUCUAUCCUAAGUUCAUGUCAUAGUGUCUCUACUACGCUAGUCCAAAUGCCACUCUGUGAGUUCAUUUACAUGUCCAAGUUCAUCUUUUGUUCCGCGACACUAUAGGAUUCCAUGUCAAGACCCAAUCCUCAUGUGUCCACUAAAUCAAGUGCUCAACUCACCAAAUGAUUUCAACGAUGGAAACAUGCAAGGAAUUGAAGUACAAACAACCUAUAAUGCAUACUAACAAGAUAUGAACAUAUGCUAAAAUAAUGAAAUACUCGGUCAUAGAAAGAAGCCCGACUGCUUCGAGAUGGACAGCUCCCACCUUCGGGAUGGAAACUCCUAUGUUUAAAAGAUGUGGAAAGAGUUACAUCCAAAAGGAGUGUGAAAACUACCACCACAUGUAGGAAAGAGCUACCACCCCAGUCGUCCGGCAAGUGUGUGAAGCUACCACAUGAAGAUUGAAUUAAAUAACCGGAACGGUUGAAAAAAAAAUUGAAUAUUUUAGAAUUUUCGGAGUUAUAAGGUGUUAGUUUGAAAAAGAAGCUCACAGAGCCACCACCGGUAUCAUAAUAGUUAAAUCUCUAUUUUGAACGGAUUGCGACAAAUUGGUGUAAAUUUUGCCGAAUUUCUAAAAAUCAUUUUUCAUGAACCGUUACAUCUUGAUGAUUUUGAAACACGAGGUCAUUUUUUAUAACGAAAUUUUUGAUGUUUCGAUGUAUUUUUGAAAUCUUAUAAUAUUUUACCUCCAUUAUAAUGAUUUUUGGAGUAAAGUCCUUAAUUCGUAUGAAAUUAAUUUAAGUUUAAAAGGUUUUUAAAAUUAAAAAUUUUUGAAAUCUGGCAAAGUGUUUUGGUAGCCACAGUUUUAAAACCGGUUACAGGUUUUCGAUCUUUCUCCAAACUUUAUCAAAACUUCUCCUUUCUCUUUCUUAAAACCUGUUACAGGGCACGUUUGUUCACGACGAUAAAUAUGGAAAAUGAAAAAGAAAAGAAAAUAAAAGGGUUACAGUUCUUCAAUGUGCUCCUUUCUGGUUCUUUUGAAAGUCUAUGUGAAUUUAUCCUAUUCAUGCACUAACAUUAUUGGUACUCUCUCUAUUUUUGGUACUUGUUUUUGGCAAUUUUUGACAAAAAGGGGGAGAGAGAGAAGAGAUUUUAAAUUUUUUCUUGUGAAUUUUUAUUGAUCAUAUUAGAUGCAUGAACAGAGGGGGAGAGAUUUUUAUUAACAAAGGAUGCAUGAAUAGAGGGGGAGAGAUUUUCAUUAACAAAAGGGAAGAGAUGUUCAUUUUUUUUACUAACUUUGUUCGAGGAGAAAAUAUUCUUUGUAUUCUUUCUGCAGAUUCUCGAUGACUUCAAGACUCGUGUUUAAGUCAUAGAGUUUGUUUAGGAGUUACAAAUUGUAAUUUUGUUUUUUUUUUUUUUUUUUGGAUCUUUCCCGCGAGAAGUUCAUUGUUUUGGUGAUGGCAAUGAAUUUCAAUUUUUUAUUGUUUGGAGAGUUGAGCAUUGUGAGUGUUUUGAUGUAUUUUUGAGUUUUGUCACAAAAUUGCCAAAGGGGUAGAUUGUUACGGAUUUUAUGUUGGCAUAUUUCGUAAAGUUAAUCGGAGUCUUGAAUGUUUGAAGAAGAAGAGAUGAAGAUCGAAGAAUCGAAGACUCAAAACAUGAAUGCACAAUGCUCGGUAAGUUUAAAUACCAUUGAUGAUGAUUUAUAAAUGUUUAAAAGUGUUUAGAAGACUUAGAUUGUGUUUUUGUUGAUCAAACUGGACUUUUCUAAAAAUCUUAGGGCUCAGGGACCAGUCCUUGAUCAGAAGGACCGGACCCAUCAAGCUUCUCUGCGUAGAAGUUUUGGGAGACCGGUCUCUGGUCUUGAGGACCGGUUCCCGUAAGUGGUUUAUCUUGUUGCGCAGGGAGGGACCGGUCUCUGAAUUGAGGACCGGUCCCCAUACGCAUGUUCCUCAGCUAUGCAGCGAAGGACCGGUUUUCAACUUGGAGGACCGGUCCCUCAAGGACCGGUCUCCUCAGGAGGACCGGACCCUGGGGAUGACGUCAGUUUUUAAAAUUGAGUUUUUGCAAUCCCAGUCUGUUUCUAAGUCUUCUAAACCUAUAAAUAAGAUGUAGGGGUGUUUCUAAAAGAGUAUGAAGGCAUAGAAUAUUGUUUUGAAACCCUAGAAACUUGUUGGGUGCAUUCUUUCUUCUCUCAAACAACAAGUUUCUAUUGGAUCAAUUCUUGAAACCCUAAUUUCUUGUUCUUCAUGGAAAAUUGAUCCGGCUAUUGCUUAGAAACAUCUUCUAUGGUUCUUUAAUGAUUGUCUAAGCAAUAAAUCAUCAUCAAUCUUGGUAUUCUUGCUCCGAACGGAGUAUGCUCGUGGAUUCGAGUGGGCGUCGUGGAUUCAGCGUGAUCAAGGCUUCGUGGAUUCGAAGUAUGGACGCUUUGUGGAUUAUGGACGUGGCGUUCGUGGAUUCGGACGUGGGGCGUGGACAACCUGUUGGUGUGCGCGAGAUCCGGAAAAGAUAGAAGAGAGGUUUGAAACCGUGGAUUCAGUAAAUCACCUUGUUAUCUUUUAUUCUUAGUGGAUUGUUAUCGCGUGUUGGUCCCGUGGGUUUUUCUCCAAGUUGGAGUUUUCCCACGUAAAUCUCGGUGUAAUUUUUAUUUUUCGCAUUUAUUUUGAUCGCAUUGAGAUUUGUGGUUUUUGGCCGUUACACCUAUUCACCCCCCCCUCUAGGUGUUGGAUACAAUCUAGAUAGAUCCUUGGGCACCCCAAAACUUUCAGGGGCAGCUCUUCACCUAUAUGAUUUGAGAUCUUAGGCGGGUUAGCCUAGUGGAUUGGGUAAUGACAUGAAUAGCUUAGUGGAUUGGCAUUCAUACCAUGAUUGGACAUUGUAUAUGUUGAGUGUAUUUAAGGCCGAGGUGUAUGUAAGGGUUCCUUCACCUCGAGCCGGACAAAGUGCGGUAUCCCGCAGUUGAUUGACUCGAGGCAAAGUCGAGUGGCUAGCUUGGAUAAGGUAGAGGAAACCUUAAAGGCUAGUGAUAGAUGACUUGGAUCUAGGGUAAUAGAAACCUUAGAAAGUAGUUUGAUGUGAACUAGAUGAUGAGAUAGAAAGUAGUAUCGGGUGAUCUACUAGUUUUUGCAUUACUUGCAUGAUUGCAUGGCAUUGUUGCAUUUGUGAGGCAAAGCAUGGUAUUAUUAGCUGCAUAAUUUAGAUAUCGUAUCUAUUUGUUUAUUAAACUAACCAUGAUAUUGUUGCAUUACUUGUUGGUCGAGCUUUUCCCUUGGGUGGCCGUACCCACUGGGAACCAUGGAGUUGGUUCUCACCCCACGUUGCUUUGGGGUGUUACAGGUUCGCACGUGAGCGGCGCGGCGGCGCGAGGAAAGGGCGUAGCUCCGUAGAUAGCGCCCUAUCCCAGAGACCAGAGAUAGC
rnacentral:lncRNA from 1 species